AGCUCAGAAGGUUUUAUUCAUGUAAACAGAAUAACAAUUAUUCUUUGACUUAAAUGAAUAACCGUAUUGCAAUAAACAUGAUCCAAUCAAAUUAUGCUCAACGUAAACACCAAAUAACAUUUAUUUUAUGUUCAACACUAAUCCCGAAGGUAAAGGGAGUGUGCGAUGGUGAUCUUAUCAACCUUGGAAUCACUUCCAACACACAUCGCCACCUUGCCCUCAACUAGUCUUUGUUCAUUUUGUAACUCCUGUUUCGAGUUACUAACCAUAGCAACUGAACCAGUAUCAAAUACCCAGGGGCUACUAUGAACACUAGUAAAGUACACAUCAAUAACAUUUAUAUCAUAUAUACUUUUGUUCACUUUGCCAUCCUUCUUAUCCGCCAAGUAUUUGGGGCAGUUCCGCUUCCAGUGACCAUUUCCUUCGCAGUAGAAGCACUCAGUUUCAGGCUUGGGUCUAGCUUUGGGCUUCUUCAUGGGAGUGGCAACUUGCUUGUCAUUCUUCUUGAAGUUCCCUUUCUUUCCCUUGCCCUUUUACUUGAAACUAGUGGUCUUGUCAACCAUCAACAUUUGAUGCUUUUCUUGAUUUCUACCUUCGUCGAUUUCAGCAUCACGAAGAGCUCGGGAAUCAUUUUCGUCAUCCCUUGCAUAUUAUAGUUCAUCACGAAGUUCUAGUAACUUAGUGAUAGUGACUAGAGAACUUUGUCAAUCACUAUUUUAUCUGGAAGAUUAACUCCCACUUGAUUCAAGCGAUUGUAGUACUCAGACAAUCUAAGCACAUGCUCUCCUCCAUCUUGUAGGCAAAAUACUUGUCAGAGGUCUCAUACCUCUCGACUCGGGCAUGAGUCUGAAAUACCAAUUUCAGCUCUUGGAACAUCUUAUAUGCUUUGUGGCGUUCAAAACGUUUUUGAAGUCCCGGUUCUAAGCCGUAAAGCAUGGCGCACUAAACCAUCAAGCAGUUAUCAUACCGAGCUUCAUAACGUCUAUAUCUGCUCCUGCAAUAGGUCUGUCACCUAGCGGUGCAUCAAGGACAUAAUUCUUCUGUGCAACAAUGCGGAUAAUCCUCAGAUCACGGACCUAGUCCGCAUCAUUGCUACUAUCAUCUUUCAACAUAGUUUUUCUCUAGGAACAUAUCAAAAAUAAACGGGGAGUUACAUCGUGAGCUAUUGAUCUACAACAUAGUUAUGCAAAUACUAUCAGGACUAAGUUCAUGAUAAAUUAAAAUUAAAUUAAUCAUAUUACUUAAGAACUCCCACUUAAAUAGACAUCCCUCUAAUCAUCUAAGUGAUCACGUGAUCCAUAUCAACUAAACCAUGUCCGAUCAUCACGUGAGAUGGAGUACUUUUCAAUGGUGAACAUCACUAUGUUGAUCAUAUCUACUAUAUGAUUCACGCUCGACCUUUCGGUCUCAGUGUUCCGAGGCCAUAUCUGCAUAUGCUAGGCUCAUCAAGUUUAACCCAAGUAUUCUGCGUGUGCAAAACUGACUUGCACCCGUUGUAUAUGAACGUAGAGCUUAUCACACCCGAUCAUCACGUGGUGUCUCAGCACGAAGAACUAUCGCAACGGUGCAUACUUAGGGAGAACACUUAUACCUUGAAAUUUUAGUAAGGGAUCAUCUCAUAAUGCUACAGUCGUACUAAGCAAAAUAAGAUGCAUAAAAUAUAAACAUCACAUGCAAUCAAAAUAUGUGACAUGAUAUGGCCAUAAUCAUCUUGUGCCUUUGAUCUCCAUCUCCAAAGUACCGUCAUGAUCUCCAUCGUCACCGGCAUGACACCAUGAUUUCCAUCAUCUUGAUCUUUAUCAACGUGUCGUCACAUGGUCGUCUCGCCAACUAUUGCUUUUGCAACUAUUGCUACCGCUUAGUGAUAAAGUAAAGCAAUUACAUGGCGAUUGCAUUUCAUACAAUAAAGCGACAACCAUAUGGCUCCUGCCAGUUGCCGAUAACUGUUACAAAACAUGAUCAUCUCAUACAACAAUUUAUAUAUCAUCACGUCUUGACCAUAUCACAUCACAGCAAGCCCUACAAAAACAAGUUAGACGUCCUCUACUUUGUUGUUGCAAAUUUUACGUGGCUACUACGGGCUUUAGCAAGAACCGUUCUUACCUACACAUGAAAACCACAACGAUUUUUCGUCAAGUUUACUGUUUUAACCUUCAACAAGGACCGGGCGUAGUCACACUCGAUUCAACUAAAGCUGGAGAAACAGACACCCACUAGCCACCUGUGUGCGAAGCACGGCGGUAGAACGAGUCUCAUGAACACGGUCAUGUAAUGUCGGUCUGGGCCGCUUCAUCCAACAAUACCGCCGAAUCAAAGUAUGACAUGCUGGUAAGCAGUAUGACUAUUAUCGCCCACAACUCUUUGUGUUCUACUCGUGCAUAUAACAUCUACGCAUAGACCUGGCUCGGAUGCCAUUGUUGGGGAACGCAGUAUUUCAAAAAAAUUACCUACGAUCACGCAAGAUCUAUCUAGGAGAUACAUAGCAACGAGCGGGAAGAGUGUGUCCACGUACCCUCGUAGACCGAAAACUGAAGCGUUAAGUAGCGCGAUUGAUGUAGUCGAACGUCUUCGCGAUCCAACCGAUCAAGUACCGAAUGCACGACACCUCCGCGAUCUGCACACGUUCAGCUCGGUGACGUCCCUCGAACUCUAGAUCCAGCUGAGGCCGAGGGAGAGUUUCGUCAGCACGACGGCGUGGUGACGGUGAUGAUCAAGUUACCGGCGCAGGGCUUCGCCUAAGCACUACGACGAUAUGACCGAGAUGUGUAACUGUGGAGGGGGGCACUGCACACGGCUAAAAGAUCAACUUGUGUGUCUAUGGGGUGCCCCCUCCCCCGUAUAUAAAGGAGGGGAGGAGGAGGAAGGCCGGCCACAAGGGGCACGCCCAAGGGGGGAUUCCUACUCCUAGUAGGAGUAGGUUCCCCCCUUUCCUAGUCCAAGUAGGAGAAGAAGGAAGGAGAAGGAGAGGGAGAAGGAAAGAGGGGGGCACCGCCCCCUCCCUAGUCCAAUUCGGACCAGCCCAUGGGACUUGUGGGUUUGACAUAACUCAUAAUACAAAUCGUCAUCGAACGUUAAGUGUGCGGACCCUACGAUUCGAGAACUAUGUAGACAUGACCGAGACACAUCUCCGGUGAAUAACCAAUAGCGGAACCUGGAUGCUCAUAUUGGCUCCUACAUAUUCUACGAAGAUCUUUAUCGGUCAAACGCAUAACAACAUACGUCAUUCCCUUUGUCAUCGGUACGUUACUUGCCCGAGAUUCGAUCGUCGGUAUCAUCAUACCUAGUUCAAUCUCGUUACCGGCAAAUCUCUUUACUAGUUCCAUAAUGCAUCAUCCCGCAACUAACUCAUUAGUCACAUUGCUUGCAUGGCUUAUAGUGAUGUGCAUUACCGAGAGGGCCCAGAGAUACCUCUGUGAUACACGGAGUGACAAAUCCUAAUCUUGAUCCAUGCCACUUGUACCAAGUUACGUUGUGACGUUUGAUAGCACACAAGGUGUUCCUCCGGUAUUCGGGAGUUGCAUAAUCUCAUAGUCAGAGGAAUAUGUAUAAGUCAUGAAGAAAGCAAUAGCAAUAAAACUUAACGAUCAUUAUGCUAAGCUAACAGAUGGGUCCAUCACAUCAUUCUCUAAUGAUGUGAUCCCGUUAAUCAAAUAACAACUCAUGUCUAUGGUUAGGAAACUUAACCAUCUUUAAUUAACGAGCUAGUCAAGUAGAGGCAUACUAGUGACACCUUGUUUGUCUAUGUAUUCACACAUGUACUAAGUUUUCGGUUAAUACAAUUCUAGCAUGAAUAAUAAACAUUUAUCAUGAUAUAAGGAAAUAUAAAUAACAACUUUAUUAUUUCCUCGAGGGCAUAUUUCCUUCACCCCGGUGUUCACCCAUGCGGUUUAUGGAUUAUUUUCUUGAAGUUAUAGUCAUAUCAUAUAAUUAAUAAUUAUUUAAAAUGCAUAUGUUUAAACUUCACAUAGAUUUUUGGCAUAAACAAACAAUAUACAUACCAAUACGGAGGUUACAAGUGACUCACAAAUCAUACUCAAUACAUGUACCUUUUUUAUGGAUGCAUAAGAAUCUACAAAAAAUUGUUUUGGAGAACUUUACUUGGAUAUGAGACUUAGAAUUGUAUCGGACCUGACUUUUGUGAUUAAUAUUUCUCAUUCCAGAUAUUUCUUGAACCAACCGAGCAUUAAGGCAAGAGCUUGUUCAGCUGUUCUAACUGCAAAUGGGUCGGUGCUAUUGUAUCUACAAGCAAAGCCAUGUGCAACUCCUGGAAAGAUCUUGCCGAAGUAAGGUACCUACAAUAAGCAAGCAUAUGAGGCUAGCUAGGUAAGCUCUAUGAAUACACCAUUUGUGACAAGUCUUGCGUAAAAAGGGUACGUAGUUGUUAAGUCAAACAACAUUUCUAUAGUUCUACCUUUGUUCUCAUUUACUUGUCCAAGAAUUAUUUCUGCGUCAAACUUUGUACAAUGAUUAUAUAAUAGUUUUUGAGUAUUAUAAUUUUGUUAGCACAUCUUAAUGUAAAUUAAAGUAUAUAUUAAGUUAAGUACCAUGAUUAACACUCAAAAAAGAAAAAAUGUGAAAUGAUAGGAAAUAGAGUGAGUAAUUGCGUACAUUGAGAUUUAUCCUCCAACUACAUCAUGAAAUAUGAACUCUUAUUUGAUAAAUACAGUUGUAUUUCGUUCGCGAUCAUGUUAACAUGUGAAAUGUGUGCCGGUUGCACCCACUAUGAUGUUUCUAAAUCGGACAAUAUACUUCAGAAAAUUGCAUUUUAAAUUUUAGAAUAGCAGUGCCAAUAGAGCUAUAUAAAAGAAUUCAAUAUCAAGUGUCAACAGAUCCGAUACUAACUCACCUUGUCAUUUCUUUUACGAAGGGCGUGCAAAAACUGAUAUAUGAACUUCUGUGGUGUAGUUGUGUCAUUUUGAGCUCCAAGGAUCUCAAUGGGGCACUUGACCUCUGAGUUCCACGUAAACUUAAAAUAAUAAGAAGAGGGAUUCACACUGAACCAGUGACCAUAGCAGUAGAAACAAAGGGUCACCUCUCAUAUCAUCAACAACGAUGGAUGAAGGAUGGGAGAUGACGAUUGCCUUCACCUCCUCCAUUUUCGCUAUUUCCACUGCAAACUUUCCUGUUAGUUCAUAGGGACAAGAAAAAUAAUUGAGUUAUGUUUGGAAUUGUUAAACAGAAGAGUUAUAUUGAUUGUAUUGCCAGUGUUGCAGUAAUGUGUAUUGAUUUAACUAACCACCCCAACAGUAUCCCCCAACUCAAAUAAUUGAUUUUUGCUCUUUUUUCAAGGUUGCAAAAAUUGGUUUAGCAUCUCGAGCGGCUUUUACCUAUAAGAUAAACCGAGUAGAUAAUAUAUCAAUUUACGAAGUUUCUCUGUAGCGUAGUACAUCUUUUUUUUUUGAAUAGUCCACAAUGGAACUUCAACAUAAAUAUACCUAAAAUCUUUUGGACCAUACCACUUUGACAAUAGUGUGUUUCAAGGUAUUCUAGAUAAAAAUCAAGGAAAGUUGAAAAUUGUUUAAUAAAAAUCAGAGCAAAGUUAUUAUUGAAAUGUAUUACCGGAGAGUGAUCAUCUAUCCACUGUGUGAUGUUUACACUUGGGUCACCUGUGUAAGGUUUCCCAUUGAAGAAAUCGGGCACCACAACGUAGUAUCCAGCUUCAGCAACUUUGUCGGCUGCCUGCCUUCCUUGUCAUGUAGAAACAUUAUGCACAACCAUGCAUGAUUAUAAUUCAGAUGCAAUGCUGUCAGGUUAAAGAAUUUAAUGAUCGCCCAUGACACUCAAUGUUUUCUCGUAUCACUUUGAUUUUUCUACAUAUAUAAAUGACAGAGGUUGUACCUACCGGGGGGUUUAGUGAGAUUACGUAAAGAAAUUCAAAAUCACAUGCCUUAGUUUUGCCGUUUUGCAUACUUGACUAUAAAUUCAGAAAUAAUGAAGGAUUUCAUGGUAAAUGAUUGUAUACAUCCUCAACACGGGAAAAGUUUGAGACUCUUGGAAACAAAUCUUGAAGCAGAAAACUAUGUUAAUAAGUGGUCUCAUCACUAUUUGUAAAGAACAUGACUAAUUUCACGGUAGAACACCUUUUCUCACAUUUGAACAUGCGGCUCCCAGGAACGUGCCCAUAGGCAACACACCAGAAUAUAAAUGCUAGAUCAAAACACAUAACUAAAACCACCUAUUACAUCAUGCCAUGCAUUUGGGAAAGAAGAAUAAUUUUAAUUGUAGCUAUUGGUCAAUAGAAGGUUAAAUAUCUUGAACGGGAGCUUGCAAUGUACGAGGAAAAUAUGUGAUAUACUCGCUCCAUCCCAUAAUAUAAGAACGUUUUUGGGGCAGAGGGAAUACUAAGUUAGUUCUGAAGUCUCUCUCAAAGAUAGCUACAGACGGUUGACUAAAAUUUGCCACUUCCUCCAAUUGUUGUACUAAGUGUGCGUCAAUUAAUUUGCAUUGGAGGGAGUAUGUUCUUUUUUUUUCAUUUAAUCAAAAAAAAAAGAGAAAUGUACAUGGCGUGAUGUUAGUGGGUCUGCUUUUUGGAGUUCUUUUUAGGAUCUUUUUGGAGUUGUUAGUGGGUCACUUUCACCUCAAGAGUAUCUUAUGACCUUGUACUUUCCUAGUAUGUGUAGAGAUAGAAGGUGAUGAACCUUCUUCCCUUUUUUUUUUUUGAAAAAUACACAUAGGAGACCGAAUGACAAUCAGUACAACCAGAGAAGAUGGUCAAACCUCAGCAAUGGCGCUUCGAAUCCUGAAGAAAUCAGAAUGCAACAACCAUAUUUAUAAACAUAAACAAGUACGUAUAUGCAGCUUUUCUUUUUCAUCGCAAAAAAGGAACCAAAUAUACAUAAACAAGUACCGUUUCUUUUCCCACAUAUAUAUACAACCAUAUUCAUAACCAAAUGAACUAACCUAAGAUGUCGGAUGCCAGGACGAUGGCCCGGUCGGAGUGGACGGGGCCGGUGACGUACGCCGUGAAGCCGGCCAGGUCAUCGACGACCUUUCCAGCCUCGGCUCCGGUGGAGGUCAGGUCCGGCGGGUUGUCCAGGCACUGCGAGUGCAGAGGAGCGGAGGUGGCUCUGCCGGCGAGCACGAUGAGGCAGAGGAGGAAAGAGUACAGCAAGUCCAGAGCCAUGACACUCUGGUACACUCUGUUCUCCUUGCUUCAGUGCGUUGCGCCGUGCUCUUAUAUAGACUGUGCUGGGUUUUGCUGCUUUGCAAGGGUAGGUGGCAUGGACACAUAGACCCCCUCCACUUUGCUGUUUUGCUUGUUAUUUUUUCCCUUUCUUUUGUUAUCUUUUGAUACGUGUUGUUUUCUGUCUAGGCACAUCAUCUUCUUGCUCUCUAUUUAACCCCUAGGGCUGCUAAAUGAUCACGGAGGAUAACAAGGGUUGCCAUCGUUCGUUUUCUUAAUCAUCAUUAUUCUUGCCUUUAAUUGACCUUGACCCAGGGCUGCUAAACGAGGAUGUAGGGCAACGACACGUGUGAUUCGUCGCUUUAUAAGAAAAUGGAUAUGACUGUGGUUGACAAAGUAACAAACAGUUCGAGAGAACUGUCGGCAUUGACAAAAAAUUGCUUCUACCAAAAUACUUCCUCCAUUCCAUAAUAGUGUCGUGAUUUUAGUUCGAAGGGAGUAACUUUUACAUAUUGAGAGAGCAAAGAUAACUAAUGAGGAGGCAAUAGUUCUGCCAAAAUAGCUUCUCUAGUUUAACUUAAAACAUUAAGAUUAUUAGAGCUUAUAUAUGGUGGAUCUCAGUAUGGUUUAUACUUUAGAUAAAUCAGUAGUAAAAAAGAUGACAUACUACUCAUGUAAAAUCUAGUCAUGUACAAUUUACAACAUCUUUAAAAAGACAACUGUAGCAUAAAUGCCUCGAAGAUCAUUUACAACAUCCUUCAACCAUUCAGUGUCGAAACCUUAAACUAAACAAAUGACGGACAAUCAUAGCACAGACUCAAUGCCACAGCGUUCGAAGAUGAAAGUGAUGCUGUCGGGGAAACGACACCUAUGGGAUCACAAGAAUCCCUACUACGGUUGCCGGGGCGCAGGGUUGCAAGAAGAGCAGGAUCAGUAGCCAGCACGAGGAUCGUUUACCCAUGUUCGGGCCGCGAGGAUGCGUAAAACUCUAGUCCUGCUUUGGUGGGUGCUUUUCAGAGAGUUCUUGAGCUCUCAAACUAGCUGUGGUGAGUGCGUGGUUCGAAAGAGCCGAAUCCUUCUCCAGUAUGCCAUGAGCCUCCUUUUAUAGUCGAAAGGGGCUGCCACAGUGGCACACAGGAGGUGGAAAGGCGCACAGUGCUAUGAGCUUAUCGCUCGUAUUACAGGACAAGACGCAUUUAAUGCGUAGCUUAGGUGUCCCCUUGCUUUAUCGGGGACGGGGCGAGGCCCGUCCCGUCCGUCGCCGCUCCUUCUCGCUUCGACACGCGCCCUGGCCAGUGAGGCGUGCGGUGCCAUGUAGGCAGGCAGGCAGCUGGGGUGGCGCGGUGAUGGAGCCUUCACGAAGAUCUGCAUGCCGCCACGCAGGCGCUUGAUGAGUUGGCCCGGGAGCUGCAUGUUGCCACACAGGUGCCUGCUCAGCUGGUUGAGCUGGCAGCUGCAUGCGAACGACGGCGGAAACUUGGUUGGUGCGGGCCUGGCGGUGGCCCUGCUGGUGUCCUUGGCGAGGGUCUUGCCGGGUGGCCCGGCAAGGGUCUUGCCGUGUGGCCCGGCAAGGGUCUUGCCGCGGCACGUUGUCGUCCCCGGCAAGGACCUUGCCGGGGGUCUGGUGGCCUUCCUCGGCAAGGAUCUUGCCGAGGAUCAUCGUCUUCUAAUCCUCACCUGAUCUUGAAUAUGUCUUCACAAAGAUCUGCAUGCCACCACAGAGGUGCCUUCCCGAGCCCUGGCCCCACGUGGAUGAUGGCGUUGGGGACCGUGGGCUCAAGGAUGGCUCGCUCUGUUGGUGUGGGGCGAGCUGCCCCGGCAAGGGUCUUGACGGGGGAACCUGCUUCGUCCCUCUGCUCUUUGUGGUCUUGGCCUUGGCGUUGCUCUGAUUAUCUUGGGCUUUGGUCUUACCUUGACUCGCCUCCCCUGUUCUGCUUGGUAUGACCGCGGGCGCGGCUCCGACUGCCCGUGCACAGGUAAAGGGGUACAAAAGUGCGCCCCUCUUUUUGUACACCGACGGAAGCCCCCGGGCCUGGGCCACACAUAAGCGCGACAUGUUGUUGGGCCAGGCCCAAAACGGUGCGCGGGCAGGCGGGGCGGUUUUUACCGCGGUAAAACUUUUCGCGCGCUGUGCUUCCCACGACCCCCGCGCGCGGCGCGGCGUGGAGGGGUGUGCAUGACGUGAGCGGCAUGCGUGGGGCAGUUUCUGCACGCGUGCGUCACAGCGCAGUAAAGAGGCGACUCGCGCCUUCCCCGUAAAAAGAGGGAGGCGUGGAGGCGCGGCUCAUUUACAUAAUGGGGCCGGGUCGCGGUCUUCAAGGCGUCCACUCCCCACGAUCACGGGGUGGGGAGAGGUCGCUUCACCCGUCCUCUCAGUUUUGCACGUUCGCCACGCGUCCUUCAUGCGCCUGGGGCGGCAAGCGGUGGAGGCGGGAAACCGGGCCGUCGCUGGUUGGGGCAGCGGGUCGGUCCUGAUUCCCUGCACCUCCGGUGGCUGGAUUGGCCGAGCGGGGCAGCCGAGCCCCGACCCCGCCCCUUUAUAAAGAGGGAGAAGGGGGGAUGGAGUCCCGCAAUCUUUUGUCAUCUAUCUCCUCUUGCUUCUGCUUCUUCCUUUCACUCGCCAUGGAGAAAGGGAAUCCGGGUCCCUCGACGGUGGCGGCGAGGGUCGCCGCCCGACAGCGCGUCCCUCCUCCUCCUGAGCCCGCGGUGGUGGAACCGGCCGCGAGGGGAAGGGGGAGGGGGCGAGGCCGUGGGCGAGGCCAGGGCAGAGGUCGUGGUGCUCGGGGAAGAGGAGGACGGGGCGGCGCGCCGGCUUCGCCCCCGCCAAUGAUGCCUUUUCCGAUGGAAGGCCACGUCGAAGACCAGCCCCGUGAGUUCUUCAUCAGGCUGCGCCGGCCUCCGCGUCGCCGUCUUCGUCUUCCCGCCCCGUUUGCUCGGGAGAUGGAGCGUGACCCGCCCCAAUCCCUCAGACUGCACAUGAGGGGUUGUGGGAAUGGGGGCACGCGGGUCGACGUCGACUUCCCGGCUCCUCGGGUCAUGUACCUCCGUCGUGGGUGCAAGACGUUCGCUCGCAUCCACAGCCUGACGGCGGGGCUCGUCCUCUACUUCAAAUUAAUGGAGGACGGCCUGCUCUCCGUCAAGGUCUUCGGAGACUUCGGGACUCGCCUGGAGUGCUGCGUGGAGAGCUCCUCCGAUGGAUAUUCCGACGAUGGAAGCUCUUCCUCGAGCGAAAGUGAUGAGGAGGACAGCGGGGCAGAUGACGGGGAUGAGUCCGACUAGGCGUCGGACACCCCGUGCCUGAGCGGGUGCGGCAGCAGUAGCAUCUGCACCUGGCCGCUCCUCCGGCAGAGUUUUGCCGGGGGUGGGGCCAGCUCCUUGAACUUCUCGGGGCCGUCUCCUUGGGCGGCUGGCGUCGGGAGGCUGCGGAAGAGGAAGAGGGUGGGCGGCAAGGCUGUCAACUUGGAGUACGCGGGCACCGACGCCUUCGUCGCGUACUGCCGGUCCUGCCGCCUCGUCUUCCAGCUCCUUUCCCGGCACCGUCAUCACCGGCCCACCCGUGGGCGGCCACCGGGGUGUUCUCUUGGUGCUUUCUGCUGCUCGUAGCUUGCCUAGGCGCCCCUUUUGCCCUCUCGCCUCCUUGACCUGCCUCCUGAGGAGAGGGACAAGAAAGGGAUCACGGGCAUCUUAUCUCUUUUUUAAUCUGUAAGCCUUCGGGCCCUGUUAAAUUUAAAACCUGUAAUCCCCUUGCUCAUGUUUUUCAUUCCGUAUGAACUGUACCUGUAUGGGAUGUUUUUAAUGAAAAAGGGAUGCUUGCCGGGUUUUUCGUUCGUGGGUAGACCCCGCGACAAGGAGCGAAUCCUUGUUAUUAUUUAAGAUAAAUGUUUUUCGCCCGGCAACAGGCCUUGCCGUCCCCCUCACUUCACCCGACCAUUCUCGCGCUCUUGGCGGAGGCAGGGAUGAAGUGGGCUUUAGGCUCCUCGUUCUACCUCCUUGCUGCCGCGGCUACAACCAAAUCCAGACCUAGGAGAUAAUCCUUAGGUAUAGGAAAAAGGGGAGCACGGUAGCCUGGAGAUAAAACGAGGUUUCACAUGCCCCAGUUCCGUUCCGAAAUGCACGACAGAGGAUGAAAGACUUAUCUGGAUCUGCAGCCCCCGGCAACCUCAUCUUGCCGCGGUUGGAUCCUUGUGCUUGCAGCCCCCGGCAACCCUGGUUUGCCGGGGUUGGGACGCCGGUCCGUUUUCUUUCUUACAAGUAGCUCAGCAGAAGUGCUCACGUGCCCUGCGAACCAAAGGAGGACAGAAAAGAACAGAUAGACGCGUACUCGACCUCUAAGCUAGGGGUUAGUCGCCGCUGAGCACUAUCAACCCUAACUAAGGAAGAGACUCGACCUAGCAAGCAUGCUAUGACUUAGGGCGCCAGCGCUUCAUUUAUUUAUGCUCAGGGUCUGCGCCUGGCUUUGUACAAAGGGUUACAUGCCUUGCCGGCAAAGCUUGUACAAAAGGUGGCUUGCCGGGAGGCCCGGCAAGCCACGCCUUAUGGGUAAAACUUGCGAAGAUGCUCGAUGUUCCAGGAGUUGCUCACUGGGACAGCAUCUUCGGUCUCCAGGCGGACUGCGCCGGGCCUGGUGACUCGCAUUACCCGAUAAGGGCCUUCCCACUUUGGCGUCAACUUGUUGGAAUUCUUGGCCGACUGAAUGCGCCGAAGAACAAGGUCGCCUUCCUCAAAGCUUCGGGCAUGAACCUUAUGGCUAUGGUAGGGACACAAGGCUUGCUGGUAGCGCGCUGCUCUCAGAGCCGCCCGAAGAUGAUCUUCCUCAAGGAGCGUUGCGUCAUCUUGGCGCAACUACUCUUGCUCAAGCUCAUCAUAAGUGAGCACUCGAGGUGACCCGUAUAUGAGUUCCGUCGGGAGAACUGCUUCUGCCCCGUAUACCAGGGCAAAAGGUGUCUGGCUGGUGGCUCAAUUUGGCGUCGUCCUGAUCGACCAAAGAACCCCCGACAAUUCAUCAAUCCAGUGUUGGGGAACGUAGCAAUAAAUCAAAAUUUUCCUACGUGUCACCAAGAUCAAUCUAGGAGAUGCUAGCAACGAGAGAGAGGGAGUGCAUCUUCAUACCCUUGAAGAUCGCUAAGCGGAAGCGUUACAAGAACGCGGUUGAUGGAGUCGUACUCGCGGCGAUUCAAAUCGCGGAAGAUCUGAUCCAGCGCCGAACGGACGGCGCCUCCGCGUUCAACACACGUACAGCCCGGGGACGUCUCCUCCUUCUUGAUCCAGCAAGGGGAGAGGAGAAGUUGAGGGAGAACUCCAGCAGCACGACGACGUGGUGGCAAUGGAGCUCGUGGUUCUCCGGCAGAGCUUCGCUAAGCACUACGGAGGAGGAGGAGGUGUAUGAGGAGGGAGGGCUGCGCCAGGGAAGAGGUGCGGUUGCCCUCCCACUCCUCCACUAUAUAUAGGGGCAAGGGGAGAGGGGGAGGCGCCCUAGGGUUUCCCCUAGGGGGCGGCGGCCAAGCAGAUUGGAUCUCCCUAGGGAAAAUCCUAGGGAGACUUGCCCCCCAAGCCAAGCAGGUGGAGGCUUGCCCCACCUCCCCAAGUAACGUGGGAAAGGGUGUGGGGGGCGCACCACCCCUUAGUGGGCUGGUUUGCCCCUUCCCCUUUGGCCCAUGAGGCCCUCCAACACUUGCCGGGGCUCCCGAAACACCUUUCGGUCAUGCUGGCCAUAGCCUGGUACCCCCGGAACACUUCCGGACUCCAAUACCCUUCGUCCAAUAUAUCGAUCUUCACCGCCGGACCAUUCCGGAACUCCUCGUGAUGUCCGGGAUCUCAUCCGGGACUCCGAACAACCUUCGGUAACCACAUACUAUUUCCCAUAACAACUCUAGCGUCACCAAACCUUAAGUGUGUAGACCCUACGGGUUCGGGAACCAUGCAGACAUGACCGAGACACCUCUCCGGACAAUAACCAAUAGCGGGAUCUGGAUACCCAUAUUGGCUCCCACAUGUUCCACGAUAAUCUCAUCGGAUGAACCACGAUGUCAGGGAUUCAAUCAAUCCCGUAUACAAUCCCCUUUGUCUAUCGGCAUGUUGCUUGCCCGAGAUUCGAUCGUCGGUAUCCCAAUACCUCGUUCAAUCUUGUUACCGGCAAGUCUCUUUACUCGUUCCGUAACGCAUGAUCCCGUGGCUAACUCCUUAGUCACAUUGAGCUCAUUAUGAUGAUGCAUUACCGAGUGGGCCCAGAGAUACCUCUCCGUCAUACGGAGUGACAAAUCCCAGUCUCGAUUCGUGCCAACCCAACAGACACUUUCGGAGAUACCUGUAGUGCACCUUUAUAGCCACCCAGUUACGUUGUGACGUUUGGUACACCCAAAGCAUUCCUACGGUAUCCGGGAGUUGCACAAUCUCAUGGUCUAAGGAAACGAUACUUGACAUUAGAAAAGCGCUUAGCAAACGAACUACACGAUCUUGUGCUAUGCUUAGGAUUGGGUCUUGUCCAUCACAUCAUUCUCCUAAUGAUGUGAUCCCGUUAUCAAUGACAUCCAAUGUCCAUGGUCAGGAAACCAUAACCAUCUAUUGAUCAACGAGCUAGUCAACUAGAGGCUUACUAGGGACAUGUUGUGGUCUAUGUAUUCACACAUGUAUUACGGUUUCCAGUUAAUACAAUUAUAGCAUGAACAAUAGAAAAUUAUCAUGAACAAGGAAAUACAAUAAUAACCAUUUUAUUAUUGCUUCUAGGGCAUAUUUCCAACAGUCUCCCACUUGCACUAGAGUCAAUAAUCUAGUUCACAUCACUAUGUGAUUGUAAUGAAUCCAACACCCAUGGGGUUUGUUCAUAUCUCGCUUGUGAGAGAGGUUAUUAGUCAACGGGUCUGAACCUUUCAGAUCCAUGUGUGCUUUACAAAUCUCUAUGUCAUCUUGUAGAUGCAGCUACCACGCGCUACUUGGAGCUAUUCCAAAUAACUGCUCUACUAUACGAAUCCGGUUUACUACUCAGAGUCAUCCGGAUUAGUGUCAAAGUGUGCAUCGACGUAACCCUUUACGAUGAACUCUUUUACCACCUCCAUAAUCGAGAAAAUUCCUUAGUCCACUAGUUACUAAGGAUAAGUUCGACCGCUGUCAUGUGAUCCAUUCCUGGAUCACUAUUGUACCCCUUGACUAACUCAUGGCAAGGCACACUUCAGGUGCGGUACAUAGCAUUGCAUACUGUAGAGCCUACGUCUAAAGCAUAGGGGACGACCUUCGUCCUUUCUCUCUCUUCUGCCGUGGUCAGGUCUUGAGUCUUACUCAAUACUCACACCUUGUAACACAGCCAAGAACUAUUGGAAAUAUGCCCUAGAGGCAAUAAUAAAAUGGUUAUUAUUAUAUUUCCUUGUUCAUGAUAAUUGUCUAUUGUUCAUGCUAUAAUUGUGUUAUCCGGAAAUCGUAAUACAUGUGUGAAUACAUAGACCACAACGUGUCCCUAGUAAGCCUCUAGUUGACUAGCUCGUUGAUCAACAGAUAGUCAUGGUUUCCUGACUAUGGACAUUGGAUGUCAUUGAUAACGGGAUCACAUCAUUAGGAGAAUGAUGUGAUGGACAAGACCCAAUCCUAAGCAUAGCACAAGAUCGUGUAGUUCGUUUGCUAGAGCUUUUCCAAUGUCAAGUAUCUUUUCCUUAGACCAUGAGAUCGUGUAACUCCCGGAUGCCGUAGGAGUGCUUUGGGUGUACCAAACGUCACAACGUAACUGGGUGACUAUAAAGGUACACUACAGGUAUCUCUGAAAGUGUCUGUUGGGUUGACACGGAUCGAGACUGGGAUUUGUCACUCCGUAUGACGGAGAGGUAUCUCUAGGCCCACUCGGUAAUGCAUCAUCAUAAUGAGCUCAAAGUGACCAAGUGGUUGGUCACGGGAUCAUGCAUUACGGUACGAGUAAAGUGACUUGCCGGUAACGAGAUUGAACAAGGUAUUGGGAUACCGACGAUCGAAUCUCGGGCAAGUAACGUACCGAUUGACAAAGGGAAUUGUAUACGGGAUUGAUUGAAUCCUCGACAUCGUGGUUCAUCCGAUGAGAUCAUCGUGGAACAUGUGGGAGCCAACAUGGGUAUCCAGAUCCCGUUGUUGGUUAUUGACCGGAGAGUCGUCUCGGUCAUGUCUGCAUGUCUCCCGAACCCGUAGGGUCUACACACUUAAGGUUCGGUGACGCUAGGGUUGUAGAGAUAUUAGUAUGCGGUAACCCGAAAGUUGUUCGGAGUCCCGGAUGAGAUCCCGGACAUCACGAGGAGUUCCGAAAUGGUCUGGAGGUGAAGAAUUAUAUAUACGAAGUCCAGUUUCGGCCACCGGGAAAGUUUCGGGGGUCACCGGUAUUGUACCGGGACCACUAGAAGGGUCCCGGGGGUCCACCGGGUGGGGCCACCUAUCCCGGAGGGCCCCAUGGGCUGAAGUGGGAGGGGAACCAGCCCCUGGUGGGCUGGUGCGCCCCCCUUGGGCCUCCCCUGCGCCUAGGGUUGGAAACCCUAGGGGUGGGGGCGCCCCCCACUUGGCUUGGGGGGGGGGGGAAGCCACCCCUUGGCCGCCGCCCCCCUUGGAGAUCAGAUCUCCUAGGGCCGGCGCCCCCCAGGAGGCCUAUAUAUAGGAGGGGGGAGGGAGGGCAGCCGCACCACAGCCCUGGCGCCUGCCUCUCCCUCCCGUAACACCUCUCCCUCUCGCUGAGCUUGGCGAAGCCCUGCCGAGAUCCCCGCUACUUCCACCACCACGCCGUCGUGCUGCUGGAUCUCCAUCAACCUCUCCUUCCCCCUUGCUAGAUCAAGAAGGAGGAGACGUCUUCCCCAACCAUACGUGUGUUGAACGCGGAGGUGCCGUCCGUUCGGCGCUCGGUCAUCGGUGAUUUGGAUCACGACGAGUACGACUCCAUCAACCCCGUUCUCUUGAACGCUUCCGCUCGCGAUCUACAAGGGUAUGUAGAUGCACUCCUCUCUCUCUCGUUGCUAGAUGACUCCAUAGAUUGAUCUUGGUGAUGCGUAGAAAAUUUUAAAUUUCUGCUACGAUCCCCAACAGUGGUAUCAGAGCCAGGUUUAUGCGUAGUUUCUAUGCACGAGUAGAACACAAACUUUUUGUGGGCGUAGAUGUUGUCAAUUUUCUUGCCACUACUAGUCUUAUCUUGUUUCGGCGGCAUCGUGGGAUGAAGCGGCCCGGACCGACCUUACACGUACGCUUACGUGAGACAGGUUCCACCGGCUGACAUGCACUAGUUGCAUAAGGUGGCUGGCGGGUGUCUGUCUCUCCCACUUUAGUCGGAACGGAUUCGAUGAAAAGGGUCCUUAUGAAGGGUAAAUAGAAAUUGGCAUAUCACGUUGUGGUUUUGGCGUAGGUAAGAAACAUUCUUGCUAAGAAACCUAUAGCAGCCACGUAAAAACUUGCAACAACAAUUAGAGGACGUCUAACUUGUUUUUGCAGCAUAUGCCUUGUGAUGUGAUAUGGCCAAAAGGAUGUGAUGAAUGAAAUAUACGUGAUGUACGAGAUUGAUCAUGUUCUUGUAAUAGGAAUCACGACUUGUAUGUCGAUGAGUAUGACAACCGGCAGGAGCCAUAGGAGUUGUCUUUAUUUUUUGUAUGACCUGCGUGUCAUUGAAUAACGCCAUGUAAAUUAUUUUACUUUAUUGCUAAACGCGUUAGCCAUAGAAGUAGAAGUAAUCGUUGGCGUGACAACUUCAUGAAGACACGAUGAUGGAGAUCAUGGUGUCAUGCCGGUGAUGAAGAUGAUCAUGGCGCCCCGAAGAUGGAGAUCAAAAGGAGCAAAAUGAUAUUGGCCAUAUCAUGUCACUAUUUGAUUGCAUGUGAUGUUUAUCAUGUUUUACAUCUUAUUUGCUUAGAAUGACGGUAGCUUAAAUAAGAUGAUCCCUCGCAAUAAUUUCAAGAAAGUGUUCCCCCUAACUGUGCACCGUUGCGAAGGUUCGUUGUUUCGAAGCACCACAUGAUGAUCGGGUGUGAUAGAUUCUAACGUUCGAAUACAACGGGUGUAAGCCAGAUUUACACACGCAAUACACUUAGGUUGACUUGACGAGCCUAGCAUGUACAGACAUGGCCUCGGAACAUGGAAGACCAAAAGGUCGAGCAUGAGUCGUAUAGAAGAUACGAUCAACAUGAAGAUGUUCACCGAUGUUGACUAGUCCGUCUCACGUGAUGAUCGGACACGGCCUAGUUGACUCGGAUCAUGUUUCACUUAGAUGACUAGAGGGAUGUCUAUUUGAGUGGGAGUUCAUUGAAUAAUUUGAUUAGAUGAACUUAAUUAUCAUGAACUUAGUCUAAAAUCUUUACAAUAUGUCUUGUAGAUCAAAUGGCCCACGUUGCCCUCAACUUCAACGCGUUCCUAGAGAAAACCAAGCUGAAAGAUGAUGGCAGCAACUAUACGGACUGGGUCCGGAACCUGAGGAUCAUCCUCAUAGCUGCCAAGAAAGAUUAUGUCCUAGAAGCACCGCUAGGUGACGCACCCAUCGCAGAGAACCAAGACGUUAUGAACGCUUGGCAAUCACGUGCUGAUGAUUACUUCCUCGUUCAGUGCGGCAUGCUUUACAGCUUAGAACCGGGGCUCCAAAAGCGUUUUGAGAAACACGAAGCAUAUGAGAUGUUCGAAGAGCUGAAAAUGGUUUUCCAAGCUCAUGCCCGAGUCGAGAGAUAUGAAGUCUCCGACAAGUUCUUCAGUUGUAAAAUGGAGGAAAAUAGUUCUGUCAGUGAGCACAUACUCAAAAUGUCUGGGUUACACAACUGCUUGUCUCAGCUGGGAGUUAAUCUCCCGGAUGACGCGGUCAUUGGGAGAAUCCUUCAGUCGCUUCCACCGAGCUACAAGAGCUUUGUGAUGAACUUCAAUAUGCAGGGGAUGGAAAAGACCAUUCCUGAGGUAUAUUCAAUGCUGAAAUCAGCGGAGGUGGAGAUCAAAAAGGAACAUCAAGUGUUGAUGGUGAAUAAAACCACUAAGUUCAAGAAAGGCAAGGGUAAGAAGAACUUCAAGAAAGACGGCAAGGGAGUUGCCGCGCCCGGUAAGCCAGUUGCCGGGAAGAAGCCAAGGAAUGGACCCAAGCCUGAGACUGAGUGCUUUUAUUGCAAGGGAAGUGGUCACUGGAAGCGGAACUGCCCCAAAUACUUAGCGGACAAGAAGGCCGGCAACACCAAAGGUAUAUGUGAUAUACAUGUAAUUGAUGUGUACCUUACCAGUACUCGUAGUAGCUCCUGGGUAUUUGAUACCGGUGCGGUUGCUCAUAUUUGUAACUCAAAACAGGAGCUGCGGAAUAAACGGAGACUGGCAAAGGACGAGGAGACGAUGCGCGUCGGGAAUGGUUCCAAGGUCGAUGUGAUCGCCGUCGGCACGCUACCUCUACAUUUACCUACGGGAUUAGUUUUAAACCUCAAUAAUUGUUAUUUAGUGCCAGCUUUGAGCAUGAAUAUUGUAUCUGGAUCUCGUUUAAUGCGAGAUGGCUACUCAUUUAAAUCCAAGAAUAAUGGUUGUUCUAUUUAUAUGAGAGAUAUGUUUUAUGGUCAUGCCCCGCUGGUCAAUGGUUUAUUCUUAAUGAAUCUGGAACGUGAUGUUACACAUAUUCAUAGUGUGAAUACCAAAAGAUGUAAAGUUGAUAACGAUAGUCCCACAUACUUGUGGCACUGCCGCCUUGGUCACAUUGGUGUCAAGAGCAUGAAGAAGCUCCAUGCUGAUGGACUUUUAGAGUCUCUCGAUUAUGAAUCAUUUGACACAUGCGAACCAUGUCUCAUGGGUAAGAUGACCAAGACUCCGUUCUUCGGAACAAUGGAGCGAGCAACCAACUUAUUGGAAAUCAUACAUACUGAUGUGUGCGGUCCAAUGAGUGUUGAGGAUCGCGGUGGCUAUCGUUAUGUUCUCACUCUCACUGAUGACUUGAGUAGAUAUGGGUAUGUCUACCUAAUGAAACACAAGUCUGAGACCUUUGAAAAGUUCAAGGAAUUUCAGAGUGAGGUUGAGAAUCAACGUGACAGAAAAAUAAAGUUCUUACGAUCAGAUCGUGGAGGGGAAUAUUUGAGUCACGAAUUUGGCACACACUUAAGGAAAUGUGGAAUUGUUUCACAACUCACGCUGCCUGGAACACCUCAGCGUAAUGGUGUGUCCGAACGUCGUAAUCGCACUCUAUUGGAUAUGGUGCGAUCUAUGAUGUCUCUUACCGAUCUACCGCUCUCAUUUUGGGGCUAUGCUUUAGAGACUGCCGCAUUCACUUUAAAUAGGGCUCCGUCGAAAUCCGUUGAGACGACACCGUAUGAAUUAUGGUUUGGGAAGAAACCUAAGCUGUCGUUUCUAAAAGUUUGGGGAUGCGAUGCUUAUGUCAAGAAACUUCAACCUGAAAAGCUCGAACUCAAAUCGGAAAAAUGCGUCUUCAUAGGAUACCCUAAGGAAACCAUUGGGUAUAUCUUCUACCUCAGAUCCGAAGGCAAGAUCUUCGUUGCCAAGAACGGGUCCUUUCUGGAGAAAGAGUUUCUCUCGAAAGAAGUGAGUGGGAGGAAAGUGGAACUUGAUGAGGUGAUAGUCACCCCUUCCGAACCGGAAAGUAGCGCAGCGCGGGAAGAUGUUCCUGUGGUGCCUGCACCGACUGGGGAGGAAGUUAAUGAUGAUGAUCAUGAAGCUUCAGAUCAAGCUCCUACUGAACUUCGUAGGUCCACAAGGACACGUUCCGCACCAGAGUGGUACGGGAACCCUGUCUUGGAAAUCAUGUUGUUGGACAAUGGUGAACCUUCGAACUAUGAAGAAGCAAUGGCGGGCCCAGAUUCUGACAAAUGGCUAGAAGCCAUGAAAUCCGAGAUAGGAUCCAUGUAUGAAAACGAAGUAUGGAAUUUGACUGACUUGCCCGAUGAUCGGCGAGCCAUAGAAAAUAAAUGGAUCUUUAAGAAGAAGACAGACGCAGAUGGUAAUGUGACCAUCUAUAAAGGCUCGACUUGUCGCUAAGGGUUAUCGACAAGUUCAAGGGGUUGACUACGAUGAGACUUUCUCACCCGUAGCGAAGCUGAAGUCCGUCCGAAUCAUGUUAGCAAUUGCCGCAUUCUAUGAUUAUGAGAUAUGGCAAAUGGACGUCAAAACAGCAUUCCUUAACGGCUUUCUUAAGGAAGAAUUGUAUAUGAUGCAGCCGGAAGGUUUUGUCGAUCCUAAGAAUGCUAACAAGGUAGCAAGCUCCAGCGCUCCAUCUAUGGGCUAGUGCAAGCAUCUCAGAGUUGGAACAUUCGAUUUGAUGAGAUGAUCAAAGCGUUUGGGUUUACACAGACUUAUGGAGAAGCCUGUGUUUACAAGAAAGUGAGUGGGAGCUCUGUAGCAUUUCUCAUAUUAUAUGUGGAUGACAUACUAUUGAUGGGAAAUGAUAUAGAAUUCUUGGAAAGUAUAAAGGCCUAUUUGAAUAAGUGUUUUUCAAUGAAGGACCUUGGAGAAGCUGCUUUUAUAUUAGGCAUAAAGAUCUAUAGAGAUAGAUCAAGACGCCUCAUUGGUCUUUCACAGAGUACGUACCUUGAUAAGAUAUUGAAGAAGUUCAAUAUGGAUCAGUCCAAGAAGGGGUUCUUGCCUGUAUUGCAAGGUGUGCAAUUGAGCACGGCUCAAUGCCCGACCACGGCAGAAGAUAGAGAAAAGAUGAGUGUCGUCCCCUAUGCCUCGGCCAUAGGGUCUAUUAUGUAUGCCAUGCUGUGUACCAGACCUGAUGUAAACCUUCCCGUAAGUUUGGUAGGAAGGUACCAAAGUAAUCCCGGCAUGGAACACUGGACAGCGGUCAAGAAUAUCCUGAAGUACCUGAAAAGGACUAAGGAUAUGUUUCUUGUUUAUGGAGGUGACGAAGAGCUCGUCGUAAAGGGUUACGUCGAUGCUAGCUUCGACACAGAUCUGGAUGACUCUAAGUCACAAACCGGAUACGUGUAUAUUUUGAAUGGUGGGGCAGUAAGCUGGUGCAGUUGCAAGCAAAGCGUCGUGGCGGGAUCUACAUGUGAAGCGGAGUACAUGGCGGCCUCAGAGGCAGCACAAGAAGCAAUCUGGAUAAAGGAGUUCAUUACCGACCUAGGAGUGAUUCCCAAUGCGUCGGGCCCGAUGACUCUCUUCUGUGACAACACUGGAGCUAUUGCCCUUGCCAAGGAGCCCAGGUUUCACAGGAAGACCAGGCAUAUCAAGCAUCGCUUCAACUCCAUUCGUGAAAAUGUUCAAAAUGGAGACAUAGAUAUUUGUAAAGUACAUACGGACCUGAAUGUAGCAGAUCCGUUGACUAAACCUCUCCCUAGAGCAAAACAUGAUCAACACCAGAACUCUAUGGGUGUUCGAUUCAUCACAAUGUAACUAGAUUAUUGACGCUAGUGCAAGUGGGAGACUGUUGGAAAUAUGCCCUAGAGGCAAUAAUAAAAUGGAUAUUAUUAUACUUCCUUGUUCAUGAUAAUUGUCUAUUGUUCAUGCUAUAAUUGUGUUAUCCGGAAAUCGUAAUACAUGUGUGAAUACAUAGACCACAAUGUGUCCCUAGUAAGCCUCUAGUUGACUAGCUCGUUGAUCAACAGAUAGUCAUGGUUUCCUGACUAUGGACAUUGGAUGUCAUUGAUAACGGGAUCACAUCAUUAGGAGAAUGAUGUGAUGGACAAGACCCAAUCCUAAGCAUAGCACAAGAUCGUGUAGUUCGUUUGCUAGAGCUUUUCCAAUGUCAAGUAUCUUUUCCUUAGACCAUGAGAUCGUGUAACUCCCGGAUGCCGUAGGAGUGCUUUGGGUGUACCAAACGUCACAACGUAACUGGGUGACUAUAAAGGUACACUACAGGUAUCUCUGAAAGUGUCUGUUGGGUUGACACGGAUCGAGACUGAGAUUUGUCACUCCGUAUGACGGAGAGGUAUCUCUGGGCCCACUCAGUAAUGCAUCAUCAUAAUGAGCUCAAAGUGACCAAGUGGUUGGUCACGGGAUCAUGCAUUACGGUACGAGUAAAGUGACUUGCCGGUAACGAGAUUGAACAAGGUAUUGGGAUACCGACGAUCGAAUCUCGGGCAAGUAAUGUACCGAUUGACAAAGGGAAUUGUAUACGGGAUUGAUUGAAUCCUCGACAUCGUGGUUCAUCCGAUGAGAUCAUCGUGGAACAUGUGGGAGCCAACAUGGGUAUCCAGAUCCCGCUGUUGGUUAUUGACCGGAGAGUCGUCUCGGUCAUGUCUGCAUGUCUCCCGAACCCGUAGGGUCUACACACUUAAGGUUCGGUGACGCUAGGGUUGUAGAGAUAUUAGUAUGCGGUAGCCCGAAAGUUGUUCGAUGAGAUCCCGGACGUCACGAGGAGUUCCAGAAUGGUCCGGAGGUGAAUAAUUAUAUAUAGGAAGUCCAGUUUCGGCCACCGGGAAAGUUUCGGGGGUCACCGGUAUUGUACCGGGACCACCAGAAGGGUCCCGGGGGUCCACCGGGUGGGGCCACCUAUCCCAGAGGGCCCCAUGGGCUGAAGUGGGAGGGGAACCAGCCCCUGGUGGGCUGGUGCGCCCCCCCCUUGGGCCUCCCCUGCGCCUAGGGUUGGAAACCCUAGGGGUGGGGGCGCCCCCCACUUGGCUUGGGGGGGAAGCCACCCCUUGGCCGCCGCCCCCCUUGGAGAUCAGAUCUCCUGGGGCUGGCGCCCCCCAGGAGGCCUAUAUAUAGGAGGGGGGAGGGAGGGCAGCCGCACCACAGCCCUGGCGCCUCCCUCUCCCUCCCGUAACACCUCUCCCUCUCGCUGAGCUUGGCGAAGCCCUGCCGAGAUCCCCGCUACUUCCACCACCACGCCGUCGUGCUGCUGGAUCUCCAUCAACCUCUCCUUCCCCCUUGCUGGAUCAAUAAGGAGGAGACGUCUUCCCCAACCGUACGUGUGUUGAACGCGGAGGUGCCGUCCGUUCGGCGCUCGGUCAUCGGUGAUUUGGAUCACGACGAGUACGACUCCAUCAACCCCGUUCUCUUGAACGCUUCCGCUCGCGAUCUACAAGGGUAUGUAGAUGCACUCCUCUCUCUCUCAUUGCUAGAUGACUCCAUAGAUUGAUCUUGGUGAUGCGUAGAAAAUUUUAAAUUUCUGCUACGAUCCCCAACAAGAACUCCUUCUUUGCUGAUCUAUUUUGAACUCCUUCAAAAUCUUGUCACGGUAUGUAUUCAUUUGAAAGUACUAUUAAGCGUUUUUGAUCUAUCCUUAUAGAUCUUGAUGCUCAUUGUUCAAGUAGCUUAGUCCAGGUUUUUCCAUUGAAAAACACUUUUCAAAUAACCCUGUAUGCUUUCCAGAAAUUCUACAUCAUUUCUGAUCAACAAUAUGUUAACAACAUAUACUCAUCAAAAAUUCUAUAGUGCUCCCACUCACUUCUUUGGAAAUACAAGUUUCUCAUAAACUUUGUAUAAACCCAAAAUCUUUGAUCAUCUCAUCAAAGCGUACAUUCCAACUCCAAGAUGCUUACUCCAGUCGUUAGAAGGAUUGCUGGAGCUUUGCAUACUUGUUAGCAUCUUUCAGGAUUGACAAAACCUCCUGGUUGUAUCACAUACAACCUUUCCUCACGAAAAUCGUCGAGGAAACAAUGUUUUGACAUCCUAUCUGCAAGAUUUCAUAAAUAAUGUAGUAACUGCUAAUAUAAUUCCAACAGACUCUUAGCAUCGCUACGAGUGAGAAAAUCUCAUCGUAGUCAACUCCUUGAACUUGUCAGAAAGCAUCUUAACGACAAGUCGAGCUUUCUUAAUGGUGAUUCUUACCAUCAGUAUCUGUCUUCCCUUUUAAAAUCCAUUUGUACCCAACAGCCUUAUGACCAUCAAGUAGUUCUUUCAAAGUCUAUACUUUGUUUUCAUACAUGGAUCCUCUCAAAUUUUAUGGCCUCGAGCCAUUCAUCGGAAUCCGGGCCCACCAUCGCUUCUCCAUAGCUCGUAGGUUCAUUGUUGUCUAGCAACAUGACUUCCAAGACAGGAUUAUGUACCACUCUGAAGUAGUAUGCAUCCUUGUCGUCCUACGAGGUUUGGUAGUGACUUGAUCCAAAGUUUCAUGAUCACUAUCAUAAGCUUCCACUUCAAUUGGUGUAGGUGCCACAGGAACAACUUCCUGUGCCCUGCUACACACUAGUUGAAGUCAUGGUUCAAUAACCUCAUCAAGUCUCCACCAUCCUCCCACUCAAUUCUUUCGAGAGAAACUUUUCCUCGAGAAAGGACCCGUUGCUAGAAACAAUCACUUUUGCUUCCAGAUCUGAAAUAGGAGGUAUACCCAACUGUUUUGGGUAUUCUAUGAAGAUGCAUUUAUCCGCUUUGGGUUCGAGCUUAUCAGCCUGAAACUUUUUCACAUAAGCGUCGCAGCCCCAAACUUUUAAGAAACGACAGCUUAGGUUUCUCUAAACCAUAGUUCAUACUGUGCCGUCUCAACGGAAUUGCGUGGUGCCCUAUUUAAAGUGAAUGCGGUUGUCUCUAAUGCCUAACCCAUAAACGAUAGUGGUAAUUCGAUAAGAGACAUCAUGGUAUGCACCGUAUCCAAUAGGGUGCAGUUAUGAUGUUCGGACACACCAUCACACUAUGGUGUUCCAGGCGGUAUUAGUUGUGAAACAAUUUCCACAAUGUCUUAAUUGUGUGCCAAACUCGGAACUCAGAUAUUCAUCUCUAUGAUCAUAUCAUAGACAUUUCAUCCUCUUGUCACGACGAUCUUCAACUUCACUCUGAAAUUACUUGAACCUUUCAAUAAUUCAGACUUGUGUUUCAUCAAGUAAAUAUACUCAGCAUCUACUCAAAUUAUCUGUGAAGUAAGAACAUAACGAUAUCCACUGAUGCCUCAGCACUCAUUGGACCGCGCACAUCAAAAUGUAUUACUUCCAACAAGUUGCUUUCUUGUUCCAUCUAACUGAAAACGAGGCCUUUCAGUCAUCUUGCCCAUGUGUUAUGAUUUGCAUGUCUCAAGUGAUUCAAAAUCAAGUGAGUCCAAACGAUCCAUCUGCAUGGAGUUUCUUCAUGCAUAUAUACCAAUAGACAUGGUUCGCAUGUCUCAAUCUUUUCAAAAACGAGUGAGUCCAAAGAUCCAUCUACAUGGAGCUUCUUCAUGCGUUUCAUACCAAUAUGACUCAAAUGGCAGUGCCACAAGUAUGUGGUACUAUCAUUACUAUCUUAUAUCUUUUGGCAUCAUCAUGUGUAUCACUACGAUCGAGAUUCAAUAAACCAUUCAUUUUAGGUGCAAGACCAUUGAAGGUAUUAUUCAAAUAAACAGAGUAACCAUUAUUCUCCUUAAACGAAUAACCGUAUUGCGAUAAACAUAAUCCAAUCAUGUCUAUGCUCAACGCUAACACCAAAUAACAAUUAUUUAGGUUUAGCACCAAUCCCGAUGGUAGAGGGAGCGUACGAUGUUUGAUCACAUCAACCUUGGAAACACUUCCAACACAUAUCGUCAUCUCACCUUUGGCUUGUCUCCGUUUAUUUCGUAGCCUAUUAUUUCGAGUUACUAACACUUAGCAACCAAAUCGGUAUCUAAUACCCUGGUGCUACUAGGAGUACUAGUAAAGUACACAUUAAUAUAAUGUAUAUCCAAUAUACUUCUGUCGACCUUGCUAGCCUUCUCAUCUACGAAGUAUAUAGGGUAGUUCUGCUUCAGUGACUGUUCCCCUCAUUACAGAAGCAUUUAGUCUCGGGUUUGGGUUCAACCUUGGGUUUCUUCACUAGAGCUGCAACUGAUUUGUCAUUUCAUGAAGUAUCCCUUGUUGCCCGUGCCCUUCUUGAAACUAGUGGUUUUACUAACCAUCAACAAUUGAUGCUCCUACUUGAUUUCUACUUUCGCGGUGUCAAACAUCGCGAGUUGCUCAAGGAUCAUCAUGUCUAUCCCUGAUAUGUUAUAGUUCAUCACAAAGCUCUAAUAGCUUGGUGGCAGUGACUAUGGAGAACCAUCACUAUCUCAUCUGGAAGAUUAACUCCCACUCGAUUCAAGUGAUUGUAGUACUUAGACAAUCUGAGCACAUGCUCAACGAUUGAGCUUUUCUCCCUUAGUUUGCAGGCUUAAGAAACUUGUCAGAGGUCUCAUACCUCUUGACAUGGGCACUAGUCUGAAAUCCCAAUUUCAGUCUUUGGAACAUCUCAUAUGUUCUGCAACGUUUCAAAAACGUCUUCGGUGCCUCAAUUCUAUACCGUUUUAACAUUACGCACUGAACUAUCACGUAGUCAUCAAAACGUGUAUGUCAGAUGUUCGCAACAUCCACAAACGACGCUCGAGGUUCAGCACACCGAGCGGUGCAUUAAGGACAUAAGCCUUCUGUGCAGCAAUGAGGACAAUCCUCAGUUUACGGACCCAGUCCGCAUAAUUGCUACUAUCAACUUUCAACUAAAUUUUCUCUAGGAACAUAUCUUAGUAGAACUAAAGCGUAAGCUACGACAUAAUUUGCAAAGACCUUUUGACUAUGUUCAUGAUAAUUAAGUUCAUCUAAUUAUUUAAUUUAAUGAACUCCCACUCAGAUAGACAUCCCUCUAGUCAUCUAAGUGAUACAUGAUCCGAGUCAACUAGGACGUGUCCGAUCAUCACGUGAGACGGACUAGUCAUCAUCGGUGAACAUCUCCAUGUUGAUCGUAUCUUCUAUACGACUCAUGUUCGACCUUUCGGUCUCUUGUGUUCCGAGGCCAUGUCUGUACAUGCUAGGCUCGUCAAGUCAACCUAAGUGUUUCGCAUGUGUAAAUCUGGCUUACACCCGUUGUAUGCGAACGUUAGAAUCUAUCACACCCGAUCAUCAUGCUUCGAAACAACGAUCCUUCGCAACGGUGCACAGUUAGGGGAAACACAUUCUUGAAAUUUUCGAGAGGGAUCAUCUUAUUUAUGCUACCGUCGUUCUAAGCAAAUAAGAUGUAAACAUGACAAACAUCACAUGCAAAUCAUAAAGUGACAUGAUAUGGCCAAUAUCAUCUUGCGCCUUUUGAUCUCCAUCUUCGAGGCGCGACAUGAUCACCUUCGUCACCGGCAUGACACCAUGAUCUCCAUCAUCGUGUCUUCAUGAAGUUGUCUCGCCAACUAUUACUUCUACUACUAUGGCUAACGGUUAGCAAUAAAGUAAAGUAAUUACAUGGCGUUUUUCAUUGACACGCAGGUCAUACAAUAAAUUAAGACAACUCCUAUGGCUCCUGCCGGUUGUCAUACUCAUCGACAUGCAAGUCGUGAUUCCUAUUACAAGAACAUGAUCAAUCUCAUACAUCACAUAUAUAUAAUUCAUCACAUCCUUUUGGCCAUAUCACAUAGCAUACCCUGCAAAAACAAGUUAGACGUCCUCUAAUUGUUGUUGCAUGUUUUACGUGGCUGCUAUGGGUUUCUAGCAAGAACGUUUCUUACAUACGCAAAAGCCACAACGGUGAUAUGACAAUUGCUAUUUACCCUUCAUAAGGACCCUCUUCAUCGAAUCCAAUCCGACUAAAGUGGGAGAGACAGAAACCCGCUAGCCACCUUAUGCAUCAAGUGCAUGUCAGUCGGUGGAACCUGUCUCACGCAAGUGUACGUGUAAGGUCGGUCCAGGCCGCUUCAUCCCACAAUGCCGCCGAAUCAAGAUAAGACUAGUAACGGUAAGCAAAUUGAACAAAUCAUCGCCCACAACUACUUUGUGUUCUACUCGUGCAUAGAAUCUACGCAUAGACCUGGCUCAUGAUGCCACUAUUGGGGAACGUAGCAAUAAUUCAAAAUUUUCCUACGUGUCACCAAGAUCAAUCUAGGAGAUGCUAGCAACGAGAGAGAGGGAGUGCAUCUUCAUACCCUUGAAGAUCGCUAAGCGGAAGCGUUACAAGAACGCGGUUGAUGGAGUCGUACUCGCGGUGAUUCAAAUCGCGGAAGAUCCGAUCUAGCGCCGAACGGACGGCGCCUCCGCGUUCAACACACGUACAGCCCGGGGACGUCUCCUCCUUCUUGAUCCAGCAAGGGGAGAGGAGAAGUUAAGGGAGAACUCCAGCAGCACGAUGGCGUGGUGGCAAUGGAGCUCGUGGUUCUCCGGCAGAGCUUCGCUAAGCACUACGGAGGAGGAGGAGGAGGUGUAUGAGGAGGGAGGGCCGCGCCAGGGAAGAGGUGCGGCUGCCCUCCCACCCCUCCACUAUAUAUAGGGGCAAGGGGAGAGGGGGAGGCGCCCUAGGGUUUCCCCUAGGGGGCGGCGGCCAAGCAGAUUGGAUCUCCCUAGGGAAAAUCCUAGGGAGACUUGCCCCCCAAGCCAAGCAGGUGGAGGCUUGCCUCCCAAGCCAGGUGGAGGCGCCCCACCUCCCCAAGUAACGUGGGAAAGGGUGUGGGGGGCGCACCACCCCUUAGUGGGCUGGUAUGCCCCUUCCCCUUUGGCCCAUGAGGCCCUCCAACACUUGCCGGGGCUCCCGAAACACCUUUCGGUCAUGCUGGCCAUAGCCUGGUACCCCCGGAACACUUCCGGACUCCAAUACCCUUCGUCCAAUAUAUCGAUCUUCACCGCCAGACCAUUCCGGAACUCCUCGUGAUGUCCGGGAUCUCAUCCGGGACUCCGAACAACCUUCGGUAACCACAUACUAUUUCCCAUAACAACUCUAGCAUCACCGAACCUUAAGUGUGUAGACCCUACGGGUUCGGGAACCAUGCAGACAUGACCGAGACACCUCUCCGGCCAAUAACCAAUAUCGGGAUCUGGAUACCCAUAUUGGCUCCCACAUGUUCCACGAUGAUCUCAUCGGAUGAACCACGAUGUCGGGGAUUCAAUCAAUCCCGUAUACAAUUCCCUUUGUCUAUCGGCAUGUUGCUUGCCCGAGAUUCGAUCGUCGGUAUCCCAAUACCUCGUUCAAUCUCGUUACCGGCAAGUCUCUUUACUCGUUCCGUAACGCAUGAUCCCGUGGCUAACUCCUUAGUCACAUUGAGCUCAUUAUGAUGAUGCAUUACCAAGUGGGCCCAGAGAUACCUCUCCGUCAUACGGAGUGACAAAUCCCAGUCUCGAUUCGUGCCAACCCAACAGACACUUUCGGAGAUACCUGUAGUGCACCUUUAUAGCCACCCAGUUACGUUGUGACGUUUGGUACACCCAAAGCAUUCCUACGGUAUCCGGGAGUUGCACAAUCUCAUGGUCUAAGGAAACGAUACUUGACAUUAGAAAAGCUCUUAGCAAAGGAACUACACGAUCUUGUGCUAUGCUUAGGAUUGGGUCUUGUCCAUCACAUCAUUCUCCUAAUGAUGUGAUCCCGUUAUCAAUGACAUCCAAUGUCCAUGGUCAGGAAACCAUAACCAUCUAUUGAUCAACGAGCUAGUCAACUAGAGGCUUACUAGGGACAUGUUGUGGUCUAUGUAUUCACACAUGUAUUACGGUUUCCAGUUAAUACAAUUAUAGCAUGAACAAUAGACAAUUAUCAUGAACAAGGAAAUACAAUAAUUACCAUUUUAUUAUUGCCUCUAGGGCAUAUUUCCAACAUCCAGCGCCUUCCGCUCUUGCGCAGCUUAUCAAAAGUCUUUGUCCUUAGGCCUCGCAACACUUCAGCAUUUGCCCUCUCCACUUGGCCGUUGCUCCGUGGGUGUGCCACGGAAGCAAAAUAGACCUUGCUGCCGAGGUCUUGAGUGCAUUGCAUGAAGGUGUGGCUUGUGAACUGCGUGCCGUUGUUGGUGAUGACUCUGUUUGGCACACCAAAACGGCAGACCAGUCCCUUGAAAAACUUGACAGCUGACUGAGCAGUCACCUUUCUCACUGCUUCCACCUCCGGCCACUUUGUGAACUUGUCGAUCGCAACGUACAAGUACUCAAAGCCCCCGACAGCGCGGGGGAAAGGGCCCGGUAUAUCAAGCCCCCAGACCGAGAAUGGCCAGGAGAGAGGGAUUGUUUGAAGGGCUUGAGCUGGUUGAUGAAACUUCUUCGAAUGGAACUGACACGCUUCACACUUGGUUACUAGUGCCGUCACAUCCUGGAGGGUGGUGGGCCAGAAGAAACCUUGCCGGAACGCCUUUCCGGCAAGGGCCCUCGACCCUUUGUGGGAUCCACAUAUGCCUCCAUGUAUCUCCGCCAACAGCUCCAGUCCUUCCUCCCGGGGGAUGCACUUAAAUUUCACGCUGUUUGGCCUUCUCGUGUACAGGACGUCAUCGACGAACUGGUACAGGGCGGACCGACGGGCUACUUUCUCCGCUUCUUCCUGCUCCUCAGGAAGCUCCCCUGUUUGGAGGAAUUGGACGAUAUGCUGCGCCCACACCGGAGCCUGGGGCUCGACGGCAGGGACCAAAGGCAUCUCUCCCGCCAUGGGAGCGGUUGUCUCUACGGCCAGGGCUUGACGCCCUGCCGGAGCCAGUUGCUCUUGGGCAGGCUCAGCGUCCGCGGCAGCACCCUUGCCGGCGGCCCCAGGGGGCUCGGUUGGAAAGUACUUGCCGGGACCUGACUUCCUCCGCUUGUUCUGCCCUGUUGAUGGUUCGACGGAUGGUUGAGUUAACCGGAGCAAAAAGGUACCUGGUUCCACAGGUAGCUUGAAUGCGGCACGCUUUGACAGGUAAUCGGUGAUGUCGUUCUCCAUUCAGGGGACGUGCUCCGCUUGGAUACCGUCAAAGCGUUCCUCCAGCUUCCUCACCUCAUCUACGUAAGCCUCCAUCAAUGGGCUCUGAUAAUCCUUGUUGACCUGUCUGACAACGAGCUGCGAGUCACCCCUGACGAUGAGCUUCUUAACCCCGAGGUCUGCCGCGAUCCUGAGACCGGCAAGCAAUCCCUCGUACUCAGCAGUGUUGUUGGUGGACAUCUCCCUGGGGAAGUGCAUCUGGACCACGUACUUGAGGUGCUCUCCGGUGGGUGCGACGAGCAGCACACCGGCACCGGCGCCUUGCAGCGAGAAAGCCCCAUCAAAGUACAUGAUCCAGUCGCGGUCUGCUUCCUUGCCGGGGAGAGUGGUCUCCUGGAUUUCUUCGUCAGGCGUCGAGGUCCAUUCUGCAAUGAAUUCCGCCAAGACUCUGCUCUGGAUUGUCGAGGUACUCUCAAACUUUAAACCAAAGCUUGACAAUUCCAAGGCCCAUUCCACAAUCCUUCCGGUUGCAUCUGGGUUAUGCAGUAUCCGUUGCAACGGGAGGCGGGUGACGACAGUGAUCUCGUGGGCUUGGAAGUAAUGACGCAGCUUCCUCGAGGCCAUAAGGAGGCCGAAGAGCAAUUUUUGCACACCGGAGUACCUCGAUCUAGCUCCCUGCAAGAGGGAGCUGACAAAGUAAACCGGGUGCUGCAUCAUCUUCUUCUUCUGCACCACCUCACUUGACUGCGCGGGCACUGCCUCGGUGGCAUCAGACUCUGUCGGGGGCCUCGCCUUGCCGGCACCAGGCCCUGCCGGGGGAAUCUUGGGCUUGCCAUCCGCUGGUUCUGCUGCCGUCACUGCCUCCUCGUUGACCUCCCUCUGUGCCACCAGCGCGGCGCUGACCACUUGAUUCGUCGCCGCCAGAUACAGCAGCAACGGCUCUUGUGGUUUAGGCAGAACCAGUAUUGGCGUGGAGGAAAGGUAUUUCUUCAGAUCCUGCAAUGCUGCCUCGGCUCCUGGGGUCCACUCCAUUGGGCCUGCCUUCUUCAAGAUUUUGAAGAAAGGAAGGGCGCGCUCAGCGGACUUGGAGAUGAAUCGGCUCAUGGCGGCAACGCAGCCGGUGAGCCGACGCACAUCCUUGAUCCGCUUGGGCGCCUCAAUCUGCUCAAUAGCAUUGAUCUUGUCUGGGUUUGCCUCGAUCCCGCGCUGCGACACAAAGAACCCGAGAAGCUUGCCGGACGGAACGCCAAAGACACACUUCUCAUGGUUCAGCUUGAGGUUGAUCUUGCCGGGGCGGCUUCCUUGGCCGCCGCGCUUCUUGCCGGAUCCCUCAGCACCGUCCUAGUCCUUCUCCUUGUCCCGCCUCUCGUACUCAGCCUUUUGCUUCUCAGCAAGCAGCUUGACUUGUCGGCAGUUCUGGAGGUCGUGACCCUUGGUGCGGUGGAUCUUGCAGUAUUGCUUGCCGGAGCUUCCUGGCUUGUCGGUAGCCGCCAAGGCCCGGCAGGCGGCGCACCCGACAAUCUCCUUGCCGGGGCGUCUGCCUUGACCUUCUUGCCGGCACCGGUGUCGUCAGAUCCCUCAAUGGCAAGCACGGCCUUGCCUUUGCGUUUCCUGUUGCGACGCCGGCCCUUCUUCGUCGGGGUGGCGGCGUCUUCAUCUGUAGAGUCGGUUUCCGCGCCGGCGUCUUCGCUGGGGUACUUCCUUCCCUCUUCAGCCCGGGCGCACCUAUCGGCCAUAACGUAGAGCUCGGCCACAUCCUUAACCUUGGUCAUCGCCAGCUCUUCGCGCAUCUUGCGGUUGCGCACGUUCUGGUGGAACGCGCUGAUCACAGCGGCGGGAUGAACGUCGGGGAUGUUGUACUGCACCCGGCUGAAUCUCUGGAUGUACUUGCGCAGGGUUUCCCCUUCCUUUUGGGGAAUGAUAUGCAGAUCAUUGGCCUGGCCAUGAGCUUGGUGGCCUCCUGUGAAGGCGCCAACGAACUCAUGGCACAGAUCAGAUCAAGAAGAAAUGGAAUCCACCGGCAGGUGCAUCAACCAAGACAUCACAUUGGGCUUCAGCGCCAGCGGGAAAUAGUUGGCAAGCACCUUGUCGUCGCGAGCUCCAGCAGCCUGCAUCGCGAUGGUGUAGAUGCUGAGGAACUCGGACGGAUGGGUCUUGCUAGUGUACUUCUCACCGACGUCGGGCUUGAACGUGCGGUGGGACGGCCACUGGAACUGCCGCAGCUCACGGGUAAAGGCCGGGCAGCCCACCUCGUAAGGUAGGCCGCCGCCCCCCCCCCCGGUGCUGGGUGGUCCAUAGCGGGUCCCGCCCGCUUGUCCGACUGGCGGCGCGUUUCGCGUCGGCGCUCGACGGUGGUUCAAGCGUCUUCGUGAGCUCGUUCCCGAAGAACCUGGCGCUGGUCGCGGAGGGUCCGCGGGUCGGACGACGCUAUGGAGAUGUUAUCACAAGCGUUGUCACGACCGGCCGAUGCUCGCGGCGGCUGGCGAGGAGGAGGAGAGUGCACCGUGGCCGCAGCUGCCCCGGUCCUCCCAGCGCCAGCAUGCGGUGGCUCAGUGGAGCGCCGACCUGAGGGCCCCGCCGGUCGCGGAUCGUCUUUGUUCGCGACGGCGACGAGGCUCCGGAUGAUGGCCCUCCACUCGUCGAGCUUCUCCGCAGCAGGAGGGAAGUCGAGGAGCAGCUGCGCGCGCGCCAAAGCUUCCGCUGGCGUGGGCGGCGGCGACAGCUGCGUGGAUCGCGGCGCGCUUCGACUUCUAACUACGUUAGAAGGAGCUCCGUUACGACCCAGCGGCUGCGUGCCAUUUUUGCCAGCACUUCGGCGAGCGUGUUGAACCCCUUCAUCUUGCGGAUGACACACAAGGCUCUUCCCACGGCGGUGCCCAGGGUCACCAAUGUGGUGACGCUGCUCGGCGCGCAUACCAUGGGAAGAGCGCGCAGUGGUUGCCGUGUGGCCGUCUUGGAGGUCGCUGCGCCGCCCGGAGGUGGCACAACGACACCCCUGGAGGGCCCGCACCGCCUGCGGGGGGCCCAGCUCCGUCUUUGGAUCUGGCGACGUGCGGCCGGUCGUCUGGCGCGUGAACGACGCCGCUCGCCAGGCUCUGACUGCCAGGGCGAUGCUGGUGCUCGCGGAUCGCGGCCCGGGUCCUGUCCGCGACUGGUCCACUGCUCGUCCGCACCGGCACGGGCCGUUCGGCUCCCAACGAGCCGAUCGCCGCGGCCGUCUUCUUCUUAGGAGCCAUGGCGACGAAGAACUGCUAGGCUAACUACUAGAUCAGAUUCUCACAAUUGCGCCCCCUAUCUGGCGCGCCAAAGAUGCCGGGGAAACGACACCUAUGGGAUCACAAGAAUCCCUACUACGGUUGCCGGGGCGCAGGGUUGCAAGAAGAUCAGGAUCAGUAGCCAGCACGAGGAUCGGUUACCCAGGUUCGGGCCGCGAGGAUGCGUAAAACCCUAGUCCUGCUUUGGUGGGUGCUUUUCAGAGAGUUCUUGAGCUCUCGAACUAGCUGUGGUGAGUGCCUGGUUCGAAAGAGCCGAAUCCUUCUCCAGUAUGCCAUGGCCUCCUUUUAUAGUCGAAAUGGGCUGCCACAGUGGCACACAGGAGGUGGAAAGGCGCACAGUGCUAUGAGCUUAUCGCUCGUAUUACAGGACAAGACGCAUUUAAUGCGUAGCUUAGGUGUCCCCUUGCUUUAUCGGGGACGGGCCGUCCGUCGCCGCUCCUUCUCGCUUCGACACGCGCCCUGGCCAGUGAGGCGUGCGGUGCCAUGUAGGCAGGCAGGCAGCUGGGGUGGCGCGGUGGUGGAGCCUUCACGAAGAUCUGCAUGCCGCCACGCAGGCGCUUGACGAGUUGGCCCGGGAGCUGCAUGUUGCCACGCAGGUGCCUGCUCAGCUGGUUGAGCUGGCAGCUGCAUGCGAAGGACGGCGGAAACUUGGUUGGUGCGGGCCUGGCGGUGGCCCUGCUGGCGUCCUUGGCGAGGGCCUUGCCGGGUGGCCCGGCAAGGGUCUUGCCGUGUGGCCUGGCAAGGGUCUUGCCGCGGCGCGUUGUCGUCCUUGGCAAGGACCUUGCCGGGGGUCUGGUGGCGUUCCUCGGCAAGGAUCUUGCCGAGGAUCGUCGUCUUCUAAUCCUCACCUGAUCUUGAAUAUGUCUUCACAAAGAUCUGCAUGCCACCACAGAGGUGCCUUUCCGAGCUCUGGCCCCACGUGGAUGAUGGCGUUGGGGACCGUGGGCUCAAGGGUGGCUCGCUCUGUUGGUGUGGAGCGAGCUGCCCCGGCAAGGGUCUUGUCGGGGGAACCUGCUUCGUCCCUCUGCUCUUUGUGGUCUUGGCCUUGGCGUUGCUCUGAUUAUCUUGAGCUUCGGUCUUACCUUGGCUCACCUCCCCUGUUCUGCUUGGUGUGACCGCGGGCGCGGCUCCAACUGCCCAUGCAUAGGUAAAGGGGUACAAAAGUGUGCCCCUCUUUUUUACACCGACAGAUGCUCUUGUGCUUGAUCAUCCGCAGCAUGGCCUUUUUCGCUGCUCCGUUCACAAUCUCCACACCAAUGAGGACAGAAGCCGUGUCAACUAGCUGACCUCUGUCGUAAAUGUCGAAGGUUUUGGCGAUGCAAAACCUCUUGGCCCCAGGUACACCAUCUCGCUAUAAAACAACGACUAGUCCUCGGGAGGGGCGAAGCCUCCCCACUCGUGCAGCACCUUGGGAGCACUGUCCAGAGAGGAGAGGUCGACAGCGCCGAGCUUCUGCUGGUCUUCGCCGAGGAAGCCGAACCAUAGGCCAUGGAGCUCCGGGACGUGCAGAGCGCGGCCGGAGAAGGGCAGCGACCAGCGGCCAACGUUGGUCCACUGGUGCGUGGACGUGUCGAAGCAGUAGGUGCCGAAGCCACCGUCGCCGGGGACCGACGAGAUGCAGAUGGUCUUGCCGUCCUGGAGCAGCGUGUAGGACUGGAUGGUGCGGUCUCGGCAGGCCGGGUCGUCGAGGUAGGGCGGCGGCGGGAGCCGGCGCCAGUGCCAAGCCUUGUCUUCAUCGUUCCUCCCGGACCCGGGUGGGUUGCAGUAGACAAGAGCCUCGAAGUCGCUCGAGUUGGACAUGUUGAGGGCGUAGAGGGCCUCAGGGUAAUGGUCUUUGGCGGCGCCGGGGUUGGCGGUGGUGACGCAGACGGAGAUGGGGCUCCGCCACUUGGACGCGUUGAGGCGGGGCAGCAUCUCGGUGGAGCCGACGUAGUCGUCGUCGUCGGCGUCGGCGUCGUGCAGGACGGCGUGCCCGGUCGAGUCGAUCGCGACGAUCUUGCCCUCGCCGUCUCGCCCGUAGAAGGGCAUGAAAUCGAGCGUCGAGCUGGCCGUGCGGGAUGAUUUGAAUCUGGCCACCGGCCCGGGGAGGUCCAGGGUGCUCGUAAAUGGCGGCGACGUCUUCCGAUUCUCCCUAUUGCCUUGCGAUGUUUGCGCCCCUGCCUCCACCACGGACGGGUAGAAGAGGUUCUCCUCGGGCAUCAUGCGGCUCAGCCAGUACGAGCCGCCGACGCGGAGGUCCUUCAUCACCAGGUUGAUGAACUGCCGGGCAAACAUGUCCGCAGUCCUCCUGUGGCAGCAGGCAGGAAGACCGGGGUCGAAGCUGGAUCAUCUAUUUAGUCUCUGUAAUUAUUUACUGCAGACAACUUUUACAAUGGAUCAUCUAUUUAGUUGUCUGUAUCGCUGCUAAAAUUAUGAGAUGGUUGGACAGAUUCUGGAAGGAAAAACUGCUCGAUGCAGACACCCCUUCGUACAACGGAAGGAUGAUACAGUGGUCCCGUAGUAAUGUAAAAUUUGCUCUAGAGCAUCAAGUGAUGCAAACUACUCCCUCCGUUCCUAAAUAUAAGUCUUUAAAGAGAUUUUACUAUGGACCACUGUAUGAGGAUUAAAAAUAUUUACACCUACAUCAUCUAUUAAAGCAACAUUUUUGCCCUCUCGUGAUGUAAAAAAUAAUCCCAAACUAUUUUACAUCAUCUAUCGGAUAUGCCUAACGCCAAAGGCAGCUAACGGCCUUGCCUGCGUGGUCGCCAGUGAAGGUAGCAACGAGGUCUCAACUCCUUCCUGCUUUGCUUGGAGGGCCUAUGGACUCCGAGGCAGCGCUGCUUGAGCGGCAGGGGCGUCCGUGGGAGUGGGUUGGGGUCCUUGGCCGUGUGGAUGGCGUAGGCGCGUAGCGACGCUGAGCGCGGUGCAUGGCCGGUGGGCGGCUCCAGCAGUCCUCCAACGUCAGAUUUGAAGGUCCGUUUUCUCUUGCCCUUUUUGGUUCACAUCCCGCCGGAUCUAGCACCGAUGACCUUGUUUCGUUGGGCUGAUGGUGGUUGGGCUUGGUGGUGAGAGUAGGGUUUCAGGAGAAAUCCUUGGUUGGCUUGGCCGACCACGUAAGUGGCAUAUGCAUAUACACUACUAAAUUUGUUAUAAGUUAAGUUGAACUUGACAAAUUUCUUUCGAAUCUAAUUUCAAAUUAGAUUAGAAAGAUAGAAAUGCCAUGAGGAUGGGAAAAUGAAAAUAAAUAGUUUAAUCAAUUCUCCUUUUCGUUGGAAAUUUAUUAUCCUCCUUUCAUUUUUUACAUAAUUGUUUGAGAAUACUAUCUGUAAACAAUAUUUAUUUUGCAAACUAAAAAUACUAUAUUCACUAUUCCUUACAAUAGAUCUACUACAUGUGUUACUCAUUCAUAUAGCGAAAAAUGCCAAUUCUCUCUCCCACUUCUUUCCUCCUCUCACAAUGUCUCCUUACCUUAAGUUUUUUUUUUGUGUGUGAACAUGACUCAAAUAUUUUACGAAGGUUCACAAAAAUAAUACCAAACAUGAUAAAAAAAUACAUGAAGAUCCAUGAACCAUUGAACGGUCGCUGCCACCGCCGAUGCACCGUUGUCGUCGCUCCCAUAUCAGAGCCGGUGAAGGGAAGCUCUACGAUUGGCAAGGAAGGUGCGAUUGCAAGUUUUCAAAGAUCUGUGGUCACAUCAAAUUAGCUGAAUCUAGCUUUAGUGCAAUUCACAUGGAGUCCAUUUGCUGUAAAAUCAUCGUUGUAGUUUGGACAUGUCCACCGGAUGAUGAUGGAUAGUUGCAUAUUCAUAAUUGUUUCUAUCAUUGAGACAAUUCUUGCAAUAAGAUUGGAUGACAAAUGUAAAUUGUUUCCAUUUAGAUUGUUGAUUCUUUUUAUUCUUUUUUCCCCAUCAACUCGGUUGAGUUUGAGCGAGAGAAAAAAAUCAGUUAUUGGAUGGUUUUCUCAAUAAAGGGUGAAUUUUAUUGACUCAAAAUGAAGCAACAAGCGGAUACAAACAUAAUGAGCACAUACCCAACCUUUGAAUAGUUAAGAUGCACACAAACAACAUCAAGACACACAAAAACACUGGCAAAAGCAUAGUCAUACGAGAUCAAAGCUAUGCCUAAGCGAGGACAAAGAAAGAACCUUGUAUCGACCCACAAACAACAAUAGCGAUCAUAUUCGCAUCAAUAAUCUCUUUGAAACCACAAGGAUAACAAGAUUCUUCAACAACAACACCGAUAUGAAGGGAACGACACUCGAGCGCCGCCAGUCACUGGACCCAACCAGCAGUGGUCAGAAUCUAGGUUUUCAUCUUGAAGAACAAGUCCAAACAUAUCCGAGCAACGCCUUCAACAAGGUAACAAUGCAUCAUCAAUGCCCUGAGUAGUCGGGAUGCCACGAUCUGGCACACGAUCAGAUGAGAGGCCCAAAGAUCGGAGCAGGAAUCGUGCCCCUGCGAGGAGCGUCCAACGCAUCAUCAAUGGAGGAGCGGCUGGCUGGAAGAUGCGGAGUAGAUCAGCUUCAUGGGAGAGAAAGGGGGUAAGAGAGAGGGGGAGAGAGGUGGCGUGUAACGCCCACGAUGCGGCUAUAUCUCCCACGUGUCGAGGCACGACUUAGAGGCAUAACCGCAUUGUGGUUUUGUCGCAAGAAGGGUCAUCUUCACACAAUCCCAUGUAAUGAACAAGAAUGGGAUAAAGAGUUGGCUUACAAUCGCCACUUCACACAAUACAUAAAUAAAUCAUACAACAAUCAGAGUACACACAUAGGUCCGACUACGGAACCAAAAUAAAAGAAGACAACCCCAAAUGCUAGAUCCCUGAUCGUCCCCAACUGGGCACCACUACUGAUCAUCAGGAAACGAAACAUAGUAACGACCAAGGUCCUCAUCGAGCUCCCACUUGAGCUCGGUUGCGUCACCUGCCCUGGUAUCAACGGCACCUGCAACUGUUUUGGUAGUAACUGUGAGUCACGAGGACUCAGCAAUCUCACACCCGCGAGAUCAAGACUAUUUAAGCUUAUGGGAAGGAAAGGGUAGUGAGGUGGAGCUGCAGCAAGCACUAAGCAUAUAUGGUGGCUAACAUACGCAAAUAAGAGCGAGAAGAGGAGCAACGGAACGGUCGUCAACUAGUAAUGAUCAAGAAGUGAUCCUGAACUCCUACUUACGUCAAACAUAACCCAAAAGCCGUGUUCACUUCCCGGACUCCGCCGAAAAGAGACCAUCACGGCUACACACACGGUUGAUGCAUUUUAAUUAAGUCGAGUGUCAAGUUCUCUACAACCAGAUAUUAACAAAUUCCCAUCUGCCACAUAACUGUGGGCACGGCUCUCGAAAGUUUAUACCCUGCAGGGGUGUCCCAACUUAGCCCAUUAUAAGCUUUCACGGUCAACGAAGGAUAAACCUUCUCCCGGGAAGACCCGAUCAGACUCGGAAUCCCGGUUUACAAGACAUUUCGACAAUGGUAAAACAAGACCAGCAAGACCACCCGCUGUGCCGACAAAUCCCGAUAGGAGCUGCACAUAUCUCGUUCUCAGGGCACACCGGAUGAGCAAGACGUCGGGUUGGCAUAGACCCUGGUUGCCCAGGGGGCGCCGGACAUCGCUCGGUUUGGACCAGCACUCGAAGGAGCACUGGCCUGGGGGGGGUGUAAAUAAAGAUGACCCUUGAGUCUGCAGAACCCAAGGGAAAAAGGCUUAGGUAGACAAAUGGUAAAACCAAGGUUGGGCCUUGCUAGAGGAGUUUUAUUCAAAGCGAAUUGUCAAGGAGGUCCCAUAAAUCACCCAACCGCGUAAGGAACGCAAAAUCAAGGAACAUAACACCGGUAUGACGGAAACUAGGGCGGCGAAAGUGGAACAAAACACCAGGCAUAAGGCCGAGCCUUCCACCCUUUACCAAGUAUAUAGAUGCAUUAAUUAAAUAAGAGAUAUUGUGAUAUCCCAACAUAUCCAUGUUCCAACAUGGAACAAACUUCAUCUUCACCUGCAACUAGCAACGCUAUAAGAGGGGCUGAGCAAAAGCGGUAACAUAGCCAAACAACGGUUUGCUAGGAAAGGAUGGUUAGAGGCUUGACAUGGCAAUAAGGUGUUGGAAAUAUGCCCUAGAGGCAAUAAUAAAAUGGUUAUUAUUGUAUUUCCUUGUUCAUGAUAAUUGUCUAUUGUUCAUGCUAUAAUUGUAUUAACUGGAAACCGUAAUACAUGUGUGAAUACAUAGACCACAACAUGUCCCUAGUAAGCCUCUAGUUGACUAGCUCGUUGAUCAAUAGAUGGUUAUGGUUUCCUGACCAUGGACAUUGGAUGUCAUUGAUAAUGGGAUCACAUCAUUAGGAGAAUGAUGUGAUGGACAAGACCCAAUCCUAAGCAUAGCACAAGAUCGUGUAGUUUGUUUGCUAAGAGCUUUUCUAAUGUCAAGUAUUGUUUCCUUAGACCAUGAGAUUGUGCAACUCCCGGAUACCGUAGGAAUGCUUUGGGUGUACCAAACGUCACAACGUAACUGGGUGGCUAUAAAGGUGCACUACAGGUAUCUCCGAAAGUGUCUGUUGGGUUGGCACGAAUCGAGACUGGGAUUUGUCACUCCGUAUGACGGAGAGGUAUCUCUGGGCCCACUCGGUAAUGCAUCAUCAUAAUGAGCUCAAUGUGACUAAGGACUUAGUCACGGGAUCAUGCGUUACGGAACGAGUAAAGAGACUUGCCGGUAACGAGAUUGAACGAGGUAUUGGGAUACCGACGAUCGAAUCUCGGGCAAGUAACAUACCGAUGGACAAAGGGAAUUGUAUACGGGAUUGAUUGAAUCCCCGACAUCGUGGUUCAUCCGAUGAGAUCAUCGUGGAACAUGUGGGAGCCAAUAUGGGUAUCCAGAUCCCGCUAUUGGCUAUUGGCCGGAGAGGUGUCUUGGUCAUGUCUGCAUGGUUCCCGAACCCGUAGGGUCUACACACUUAAGGUUCGGUGACGCUAGAGUUGUUAUGGGAAAUAGUAUGUGGUUACCGAAGGUUGUUCGGAGUCCCGGAUGAGAUCCCGGACAUCCCGAGGAGUUCCAGAAUGGUCCGGCGGUGAAGAUCGAUAUAUUGGACGAAGGGUAUUGGAGUCCGAAAGUGUUCCGGGGGUACCAGGCUAUGGCCAGCAUGACCGAAAGGUGUUUCGGGAGCCCUGGCAAGUGUUGGAGGGCCUCAUGGGCCAAAGGGAAAGGGGCAAACCAGCCCACUAAGGGGUGGUGCACCCCCCACACCCUUUCCCACGUUACUUGGGGAGGUGGGGCGCCUCCACCUGCUUGGCUUGGGGGGCAAGUCUCCCUAGGAUUUUCCCUAGGGGGAUCGAAUCUGCUUGGCCGCCGCCCCCUAGGGGAAACCCUAGGGUGCCUUCCCCUCUCCCCUUGCCCCUAUAUAUAGUGGAGGGGUGGGAGGGCAGCCGCACCUCUUCCCUGGCGCAGCCCUCCCUCCUCAUACACCUCCUCCUCCUCCGUAGUGCUUAGCGAAGCUCUGCCGGAGAACCACGAGCUCCAUUGCCACCACGCCGUCGUGCUGCUGGAGUUCUCCCUCAACUUCUCCUCUCCCCUUGCCGGAUUAAGAAGGAGGAGAUGUCCCCGGGCUGUACGUGUGUUGAACGCGGAGGCGCCGUCCGUUCGGCGCUAGAUCGGAUCUUCCGCGAUUUGAAUCGCUGCGAGUACGACUCCAUCAACCGCGUUCUUGUAACGCUUCCGCUUGGCGAUCUUCAAGGGUAUGAAGAUGCACUCCCUCUCUCUCGUUGCUAGCAUCUCCUAGAUUGAUCUUGGUGACACGUAGGAAAAUUUUGAAUUAUUGCUACGUUCCCCAACAUAAGGGAGGCAUGAUAUAGCAAGUGGUAGGUAGCGCGGCAUAGCAAUAGAGCGAACAACUAGCAAGCAAAGAUAGAAGUGAUUUCGAGGGUAUGGUCAUCUUGCCUGAAAUCCCGCAAGGAAGAAGAACGAGUCCAUGAAGAAGACAAACGGACGUAGUCGAAAGGAUCCUCACAACUCCGGAACGAAACCGAAGCUAACGAGAGAAGCAACCCGGAAAGAAACAAACAACAUAGUAAACAACCACCACAUACACAUGGCAUGACGCACAAACAAGUAUGAUGCAUGUCCGAUUUAAUGAGGCAUGGCAUGGCAAAAUGCACAAACAAUACUACAAAUUAAGUGGAGCUCAAUAUGCAACGAAACACCACAUUCAAGUUAUUUAGUUUGCUCUCAUUUAUGUACCCAACAAUAUUAAAUGUUAUUAAACAUGGCAAGGGGUGAAGCAUAAUAAAACUACCUAUCUAGGCAAGUUUAAAUGAGUCCAGAACAAUAAACAACAAUUCCGGUAAAUCCCCAUAUGCAUAUUUCAAAUUUAGUACUGUUCUGCCCUAAACUAUAUUUUAGAGUUGUUAAACAGCAAAAUAAAGUGCACCAUGUUAAACUAGGCAUUUUUCUACCCCAUUUACAUAUAAAGUUUAUUAAAUUUGGACCUACGGUUAAUUAGUUAUGAAAUAAAUCAUUUUAACAUGGCAUUUAAACAAAUUAAAGCAAACAACAAGUUAAACAUUUUUAACAUAGAUGAAAGUGGCAGAUUAUGAAACUAGAUGAAAAACUAAGUGGCAGAUUAGGACACCAGCAGUAGCAGAAUCGGGCCAACAGGAACAGGCGUUGUGGGAGGCAGCUCACCAUGGGCUGAGGCCCAGGUCGGUGGAGAGGUGGAAACAGGUUGGCGGAUCUGGCGGCCCACGGCGUAGGCGAAGCAAAGGAUGGCUCGCGCGGACGACACGGCACUCGUCCACGCUGGCGCUGGACCAAGUCAACGAGAGGGCAGCGCUAGUCGUCUCGUUCGACCACGGUCGAAGCAGAGGAUGGAGCGGUGCGGCUGCAGCUUGGCGUUCGAUCUGGAGCAGGGAAGACAGGAGGCGGCACGAUGCAGAGGACGCAGGGGAGGCAGUGGCUGGUCGAGGGACUUGGGGAAGAGAAACAGCGGCGGUGCAGGGCGCGGUCAAGGCAAGCAGCGCUGGCGUCCUGAAACUGACGAAGCGGGCGGCGACAGCUUCAUUCGUCUGAUCGAAGCAGAGACGAGGCCCUGCGGCGGGAGGCGAGCACGGGAAGUCGGGGCGAGAGGAGCCGGCCCGAUCCCGCGGCAGGGACGGCAGGGACGGGAAGGACACACACGGCGGCUCCGGUCGCUGGCGGCCAUGGCAGCAGGGGCGAGCCCCGUUCGUUUCCUGGCAGAUAAGAAAACAACCGAGGAAGGGAGAGAGAUUAGAGAAGGAAGGAUAGGGAAACAGGGGAGAGAAAGAGGAGAUGGGCGGCGACUCAUCUGCUGGGUUCGCCGGAGGCGGUCGGCGGCGUGGCCGGAGGCGGGGACGAGGUGCUCGGGGACAGGGAGGUGAGGUGGCUUGGGGAGGCAGGGCACGAACGCGGGAGAAGGAGCUCGGGCUCCUGGCGUGGUGGAUGAGGGCGACGCCCUCGUGGUUGAGGUCACUGGUGGUGGUGCUCCGGUGGCCUGCCGGUGUUCGGGCGCGAGGCUGUGAGGUGGUUGGCGAAGAAGGCAGGGAGGACGCGGCCAUGGAUCGAGAGGAGAAGGUCGUUGGCUCGGUGCUGAAAACGAGGGAGGUGGUCGGGUCGGCCGGGCGGAGAGGUGGAUCUGGGAGUAUCCCGAUGGAGAUGGUGAGUGGGUGGCGGCGCGACUAGGAGGAUCCCUAGAAAUUAGGGAUUUGGUCUCGGUUUAGACUAGUAUAUAAAGCGGGUGGGUUAGGCUAGGGGCUAUCUCGUCCCUACGUUCGUAAUCGGACGGACGAAAAAAAGGCUAUGGAGUCCAAAUAAGAAAACGGAGAUGUUUUAUAGAUGUUUGGGGAUGAUCCGGACCCAACGGUAACGAAAGUCCGGUUCGGGUUCGGGACAACUUCGGACGCGCACACAAGGGGGUUUGUGCACUGUACAGAGAGACUCCGGUUUAGGCAAGAGGGCAAACGAAUAACAAGGUUUGACUCGGAAUGGUCAACGAAAGCAAAGGGGGACACGGCAACUACGAGCGGAUGCAAGUUUUAAAAACAAUGACGGCAACGAGUGCCGAUGCAAUGCGGAUGAUGAAUGCAACAAACAAAUAAAUACACACAACGAACACGAAAAACAUGGCAGGCGUCUGGAGCGUCGGUCUUGGGGCGUCACAUGGCGGAAGGAGGACUAUUAGGAGGAUGGUGAUAUCCCAACCCAUAAGAUCAAAUCUUGAAUUUGACGUUUUGUUGUCUCGGUAAUGCGGAUCAUUGUUUCAACGAAAGACGAUAUUUUCGUGAUAGCCAGAUGCAUGCGGUCACUUCAUUUUAAUCUUCAAGCUUGGCAACUUUGACCCGGUCUUUUAUAAGCGUUGUAUUUGUUGUGGUGUGAGUGUACGCGUGCGCGUGCACGUCUACAUCGUGAUCAGUGUUUUAAAAAGUUUUAAAAAGUGAUGGCUGGCAACAGGAAUGAGUUGUGGCACCGGCCGGAAGCUAGCUGAUUUGAAGGAGGCGUAGAGAGUGGAGGACAGAGCGCGCGAAAGCAUGGCCGCGAAUGGGAGGAAAACUUGGAACGGAAGAGGAGAAUCUCAGCAAAGCGGAACAGUGAGGAGUACAGCAGAGCUGCACCUCGCCCGCUGAUUAUGUCAGGCAUGAGCAAAGCCGUUUGGCCAGAUCUUCCCUUCCGAUCGACUUGUUUAAUCGGCGACAUGCCGACAUCUCGGAGUAAAAUGGCGGGCCGCUGCCGUUCCAUCCGACAGUGGCAUCGGCGCCGGCCAUGGAGGCGGACGAGCUGCUGAAGAAGCUACGGGUGCUGGAGGAGGGGCACGCCGAGCUCAAGCGGGAGGUAGGCAGGCUCAUGCCGACGCCGGACCGCCCCCGCGGCGCGCAGUCCGCGGCCCGGCGCCGCGCUUUCCGCGCGCGGCUCUCGUCGUCGUGGCAGGUCGCCGCCCGCGGCAGGUUGCCCGACAGGCACUGCCACUGGAUACUGCAGUCGCUGGGGCAGGCCGUGCACGUCAUUGCCCCCGACGGCAAGUUCCUGUACUGGUGAGGUCCCCUGCCUAUCUUGUUUCGGCUGUGCGUGCUCAUUGCUCACCAGGUGCUCGACGAAAUGCUGGACUAGCGGUAUCCAUAGAUUUUCUUUUACUUUUUAGCUGGUGCGGCGAGUGUUAUGCGUAGAUCAAAGUUCAGACAUGGGGCUUUUGCUUAGUUGGUUAUGCAAUCUUUGCUACCUAGUACGCCCGUCCCCCCUUUGGGUUGUGUUGAACUGGCCCUGCAUGAAUGCAGUCUCUAGCUUGUUCAAGUGAUCACGCUACGGUGUUUCAUUGCGUUGACAAGUGACUUUGGAAGUAAACCAAUGGGAUUUUUUUGGUUGCUUCUUGUGAUCAACUCAUCGUGCAUACAUAAACUUGGUUAGGUCAGUUCAAGCACUGAAGGGGGGUAUCACCACAAUGUUUUUCUCUUGCUGUUUCAUCGUGAUAUCAUUCAAGAAAUAUUUUAUGUUACACAUGAUAGUAAGCAAACUUGAUCCCUCGAUUUUCCUUUAGCAAGCAUCGUGUCUGCCUUAGAGGUCUACAAUGUCUCAGUUACUUGGAAUAUUUUUUUUUGAAGCAACGAGACUCCUUGUCGAUUUCCAUUAAAGAAACCGCCAUCACCAGUACUACAAAGAUACAGAAUGUAAAAAAGGUAACAAGCCACCGCAGCCAAACAGAACUACAGAAACCACACACACUAGCCAGCUUCCCCCUCCCAGAACAGGAAAGGCUAGCAGUACUUGGAAUAAAAUGUUCGACAAUCUUUCAAUGUGGCAUAUUUCGUGAACAUCAGUUUUGAUGGUGUUUUUUUAUCAACCAUUAAUAGUCUCUGUACAUAAUAUUUCUUAUAAAUUUUUUAUCUGAUUUCAAUUUGGAAAGCCUUAAACGAUUGUUGGCGAAGUUAUGCUGGUUUCUGACAACCUGUUUAAUGUAAGAUAUGAGAUUUAAGAAGGACCAUCUAGUGAAAAUUAUCGCUCUUUUUAAUCUUGAGCCCUUGCUAUUUUGUGAGUAGAUUGCCACUGUGUCAUUUUGCACCAGGUUUUGCAGAAGUUUUCGCUCUGUACCAGCUGGUUGAGUACAAUAACUAUGCACCAGGUCUUUUCAAACACGCAUAUAAAGAGUUCCAAAAAUCUAAGGAAAAUAUAUACAAGUGUAUUAUGCAAUGACGUAUAUGCCCAUAAAGUUUAGUAAAGAAUCAUUUUUUGGUUAAAAAUUGUGCACGUAUCUUUAAAUGGGAUUGCUAAAUCUCAGUCAACUGAGACUAUUUUUUCUUUCUUUUUAUAUGUUCUAUCACUUGACUGAGACUUGGUUACAUCUCAGUCGACUGAGAUCUAGCCACACCCAUCUUUAGAGGAGCAUAUACUCAUAUUUUCGUGAAGGUCUCCAAUAUUGAUAUUUUUCAACCAAAAAUUACAGAUAUAUUUCGUUGCAUAGUACAAUCAAAAUGAGAACUUCUGUAUUCGUGUCCAUAGUAUUCCUGGUGCAAAGUGCAAUAUAUCAAAAUCGCCUGGGGCAAAGUGAAAACUUUUGCAAAAACUGUUGCAAAAGUGACAGAAAUAACAAUUUACUUAGUGCAAAGUGCAUUUCCCCCUUUUUUUAUUAAAAUACAUAGCAUAUCUGAUGCAUGUAAUUAGUAUAGAUCCAAUUCUUAUGUAGUAGGCAUUCCUACUCACAAUUGACUCUGCUAGUUUCUGUGUAUGCAUGUUUUACCAAAUUCUUCCUUUUUGUUCUGUAAUCUAGGAGCCGGUAUUCUGAGCAUAUGUUUGGCUAUUCUGCAUCAGAAGCAAUUGGCCGGAAUGCUGUUGAAUUAAUCGUUCAUCCCACUGACUAUGAUGCAGCACAAAUUGUCAUCCAGAAAAUAUUUAGGGGGAAGUGUUGGAGAGGGAAGUUUCCUGUUAAGAACAAGUCAGGAGAGAGGUUUCUUAUUUUAAUCCAUAACAGCCCUUUAUACGAUGAUGAUGGUAGCUUGGUGGGCCUCAUUGGUCUCUCGCUUGAUGUACGGACAUUAGAGGAGAUAUUUAGUCCCUCAGGCUCAGCGGAAUCCUACCCAAGUACCAGAAAGUCCCAGUUUCAUGCUAACAACCGGCCUAAAAGUGAUUCACUAAACAAAGGUUCUCUUCACUCACAGCAACCUGUUCGAUCUACUACCACCUCCAAGAUAGUAACUUGGGUAAGUUGCAUUGCUGAACAACAGAAGAUAUGAUAACGCUGUUUAAUUUCAAUGGAAACUUACUCUUUCUGGUAUUUAUUCUUCAUUGAUUUCUUAGUGUAUUCUUUUCUCGAUGUUGGAAUAACAACACAGGUUACCAGUGUGACAAGUAGAGUUCGUUCUCGGAUAAGGACAUGUCAGAAUGACGAUAAACAGUAUGGUAGUGACUGUGAGGGCCAGUAUUCUGCACUUGAUCUCCAAGCCGAGUUGGCAAUAAGUGAAGAAAAAACCCCUAGUGGGGAUGUAAUGCAUCGUGUCUUUGUUGACAAGUCAUGCAAAACAAGUAGUGAUGAUUCAGGAGAGGGAAAAGUAGGGUUUCACAAGAUAUUUAAUGCAAAGGCUGAGGCAUUAUUGGCGAAGAAGGGCAUAUUGCCUUGGAAAGGACAUGAAAUUGAUGGGGGUUCUGGAAAGAAUAACAUGAACUCAAUACAGUUGCAUGAUAAGCAAGAGAAUGACCAGAAUCAUCAGAGAGUUGCAGUUCUAGAGCCUUUCAUAAUUCCAGCCUGCCAAAACAGCGAAUACACUUGGGCUAGCAAAUAUGAGGUCUCAGGUUCCUGGUGGGAUUUCAACAUAAACAGCGUGAGUAGCAUGAGAAGCACUGGGAGUACUAACAGCAGCGGUAUUGAGACAGUAGAUUAUGAAGCAGACUGCUUAGAUUAUGAGAUUCUCUGGGAAGACCUAGUAAUUGGAGAACAAGUAGGUCAAGGUAGUUACUUUUCCCUUUGCAAUUACUCCAUCUGUAGGCACUCAGAUCUCUUGUUAACAUGUACCUCAAACUAUUUAGUACUAGGCAUAGGCAUAGCUUGUAAUCGUAAGAACUACUUGAGCUGUUUGUUCUUUGUCAGUAAUUCAUACUAUGCAUGCAUCUUAAUAGCUCAUAGGCAUAGUCCAGAUCAGUUAUUUGUCAGUAAAAUUCCUCGCUCUUCAUGCUUCUUAAUAAAAUCUUGUGUAUUCUCCUCUUAUCGUUGGCAUAAUCCAGAUCAGUUAUGUUUCUUCUAACCUUCAUUAAUCAUAAUAGUUCAGUUAAUUUCAUGAUUUUACAUUAGUCCGUGGUGGCAUGAAUGUCUAUUCUAAGAUUCUAAGUUGCAAGUGAUACGUCUCCACAACAGUGAUGACAUUUUUGUUCAUAUGGUUAUGCAUCUACUCGUUUACUCCUGAAAGUCCAUGUAGAUAAUCACACAGGAUUAACAAUGAUAUCCCUAUUCUUAGACUGUUGUAUGCAAUCUGGUAUUGUCCUUUUUUUUGUAACAAACAGGCUAGUUUGUGCUACUUUGACGUUCUAUGCAUACAGGUUGUUGCGGAACAGUGUAUCAUGCUCUGUGGCAUGGCUCGGUAAGUUGGUAUAUCAUUUCUGUUGCAUGGUAAUGAAUCGAUUUUUAUAUCUUAACCAUAAAUUUUCAGUAUCGAUCCAUGUUCCUGUAGGACGUGGCAGCUAAAGUAUUCUCCAAGCAGGAAUAUUCAGAAGAAAUGAUAAAUACCUUCAGACAAGAGGUGGGCAUCUAUAUCUACAUAUAAUUGCUCUAGAAUUUGAGUAUAAUGGCAAUGAAACUACAUGAUAUCUACUGUGUUAUUGAGACACACUCCACUAUAGAAACUAAAUGCAAGAUUGCGACUGGACUCCGACACUCCAUGAUGUUCACAGAACCUACUGUUACUAGUUUCGCUAUCCUAUGUUAAUAUAACCAUGUGGAUAAAUAUGAAGAAAACAUAUGGUGUUGACAAAUCUUCACUUUUGUUGAUUUUGUGUGGAUCAAUUAGCACUACAUCGACAAUUUUAAAUCCUGUGAUCCCUUUUCCAUAUUUUGUGUUCAUGACUAUAUUUAUAUCCUUCGAAUGUGUAGGUAUCAUUGAUGAAGAAACUACGACAUCCCAAUAUAAUACUUUUCAUGGGUGCAGUUCUGUCGCAGCAACGACUUUGUAUUGUUACUGAAUUUCUCCCACGGUAUGUUGUAUAUCUUCCUACAUGUGUUUCUCAUAGAUACUAGUAAGAACAUUUCUAAGGACUGAUGGGUAGCUCAACGGCUGGCACGCAUGGUUCUGUAAGCAACCACCCGUCUUUUAUACUUUCCUCUUGUUCAAAAAGUUGGGAGUGCUAAUGCCCCUGGUUCUUUUCGGUUGAUACUAAGAGCAAUUCUGACAUACCAUGCAUUGAUUUUGUUCUAGGUGGAGUUGUUCUUCCUAUUGGAAAUAUAGUUUUGGCAUUCUUUUGUUAGUUGUGUAGAAUUUAUAAUCUCACAAGAGGUCAUUUUGUUUUACUUAUUCUGUAUAACAAUUCCGAGCCCCAUAAUGCAGCGGGAGUUUGUUCCGGUUGCUCCGAACUAACAUUGGCAAGAUGGAUCCAAGACGGAGAGUUAACAUGGCUAUAGACAUUGUGAGUGUAUUUUCUUUUAACAGCUGGUUAAGGAAUCAGGAAAUGUCCAGCCAAAUAUACUACAUGGAACUUUUUGAGAAAUGAACAUGUUGUAGCAGAAGAACUGGAUAAACAUUCUUCACUUGAAGAUCUCAAGAGAUGUUUUGAAUAGAUACAGAAUUAUUUUUUGCAAUUGCCUAAAAGCGAAGUUGAACUGCAUGUAAGCUAAGCCAUAUUUGUAGCUUCAGUGUAUGGAAGAAUGAUACAGAAAAUAGGUGAUAUCAUGUACCUGCCAUCUAAUAUACUGUAUCUUGUGCUAUAUCACACAGUAUGUCACUACUAUUAUAACUGAAGAUUAUAUCAGCAAAAUUCAAUCAUGAUUCAUGUGAUUAUGAUAUGCAAUAUUGUUACCUUAACCCUCUUAACCCAUUGAGAUAGAAGUUACUUGAUAUUUCUUUGUCGAGUACAGAUUCUUCCAUGUGGACUCUUAGAAGAAGAAUUAAUAUUGUUGCAGGCAAGGGGCAUGAACUAUCUUCACAAUUCCAUUCCCACUGUUGUGCACCGUGAUUUGAAAUCGCCAAACCUGCUGGUUGAUAAGAAUUGGACUGUAAAGGUUAGCAUGAAACUUUGGUCUGCAUACUUUAUGUUGUCUCAUCUCACUUGUUUCUAUUAGGUUGCAGACUUUGGUCUUUCACGUCUGAAACUGGAAACAUUUCUGACAACAAAAACUGGAAAAGGAACAGUAAGUAUAAGUGAACUCAACUUUUGACAUGGAUUCUCCAGACUGACAAAAUUGUCAUAAACUUUAAACUAGUACUACCUUAUAACUUGGUUUCCACAUCCAGCCGCAGUGGAUGGCUCCAGAGGUGCUACGGAGUGAACCUUCAAAUGAAAAGUAAGCUCAGCUUUGGAAAUUCUUGAACAACCGAUGUUUUUGUUAUCUACGGAUUAUUAACCAUUUCUUCCUUUUUAUUAAGUUUAGGUCUGAUGUAUUCAGUUAUGGAGUAGUCCUGUGGGAGCUUAUUACUCAGAAGAUUCCCUGGGAUACUCACAAUACAAUGCAGGUACAUUUUUGCUAUGCAUAUUGGUUAGCUGUUAAUUUGAUUUCUUUUAUCAACAUUUGGUGGCAAGUUGGCAACCAAAUUCCACACCGUAAUGUACACUGUAAUCUACUUAGAUACAGCGUCAUAGUAACAAACUUUAAUGUUUCUUUGCUUCAUAUAAUUCAUCCAUUCUCCUUUCAGUGUGGUUCAUGCUAGAUACGUAGAUGAUUUUUCUGUUGAUCCCGAGCCUAAAAGAAUUCUUGAAAAAUGCUAGCUUACUGGUGAAUGGUGGAUCUUUUCCAAGAAGUGAAAUCAGACAAUCAUUGCAGUUUAAGAAAACUUGAUUUCUUUUUAGCUUCGUUUUAUUUUGACAUAAUAAUGCAAGCUUUGCGGCCCCUAUGCUGCAGGUCAUCGGAGCCGUAGGUUUCAUGGAUCACAGACUGGAAAUUCCAAGGGAUGUGGAUCUUCAGUGGGCAUCGAUGAUCCAGAGUUGUUGGGACAGGUACAUACCAGACUUCAUGCUAGUACUAAAUAACCUAUUCCCGAUCCCAUGAAAUGAUUAUCCUUUUUUGUGAGCAGUGACCCACAACGCCGCCCUUCAUUCCAAGAACUCCUUGAGAGGCUCCGGGAGCUGCAAAAGCAGUACAACGUUCAGGCGCAGACACAGCGGAAAGAAGCUGCGAAAGUUGCUGGAAGUAUGAGCAUCAAAGAUAGCUAGCUUCAUGUCUUUAAAGUGAUGGAUUAUGGAUGCAGCCCUGGGGUUGAUUUAUCCGCUCGAGCUCAGCAGGGUCCCAGGAUGUUUUCCAUGUUGCUUCCAAGAGGGACGGCCAGAGAGUUGGUGCAUGGCUUCUUAAAUUGCAACCUUGAAGCUUUGGAACAGGGUUUGUCUUACGGAAGGAGGGUAGAGGACGCUGGCGACAUGACAUAGACUUCUCGUCGUUUCAGGGCUAGCCCGAAUUUUCAGAACCUGGGAUAGGUGUUCAGAUAUGAUUGGCCCAACAGCUCAAUCAUUAUACAUGUGGAAUGUGUGUUACCGUAUUUUAUUGAUGCAUGGUUUAAAUUUUAAGCAAAAUUUGUAUUUUCCAAACGUUCUGAUUUUGUUAUUAGAUCCGAACGAAGUGGGUCCCGUCCAAUUUGGA
rnacentral:lncRNA from 1 species